rnacentral:lncRNA from 1 species
UGGGUGGACGAGAAGCGGAACUACCACCUCAACAGCAACACCUGCGAUGCCGGCAAGGUGUGCGGGCACUACACGCAGGUGGUGUGGCGCAAGUCGACCCGCAUCGGCUGCGCGCGCGUGGUCUGCGCCGGGAACCGGGGCGUCUUCAUCACCUGCAACUACAACCCUCCGGGCAACUUCAACGGCGAGCGCCCGUUCCUCACCCUUGACGCCGAAGCCAAGUAGUACAUACGUGCGUGUGUGUUUUUUUUGCGGGUGACGUGCGUGUGUUUAUCUGUGUGUAUUUUGAAUAUUUACGUCUAUUCUUAUGUUACGUACAGUACGUACGUAAAUAAGCCCACAUUCCGGCCUGCAUGUAUCCAUGCGGCUCUGUGGAGCGUGUAAAUGUAACCAUAUAUACCUCCACAUGCAAAUGUCUUUCCUUUUGUUUUCUUGUUCAAAUCUGGGAGCUAGCCAAAUAAAUGACGAUAACAAUAAUAUUGUGAACCCCUGAAAAAAGAAAUAAUUUGAUAUACUUACUGGACGAUACUUUCAAACGAAAUUUGAAUUUGUUUUUAAGGAUAUCCCCUACAGUAAGCGAUAAGGUUGUAUUUGAUUCUGAGAAUAAGAAAAGCAUAGGAAAAAAAUGUUUUCAAAGAUAAUAAACCCAGUGCACCCUUAUAUUUAUUAAGUAAGAUUGGGUUUGAUUACGAAAAUGUCAAGGUAUAACGAAGACAAAGAUCUGGGGACUUGAACACGUUACUAGCAGAGAAAUGGCACUCUCUUGUGCACCAUUACGCCAAGACCUCGCCAAUGAAACAAACAGAAAGGCACAAGUUUGUAUACGUUAAUGACUUAAAUUCUAAAUAUAUUUGUUAUCAAUGACUUAAAUUCUGAUUAAUCAGGAAAAAUAAUGGGCUGGUGUGCUUCAUAGUUUGGCAUGGGUUCUUACUGCGGCUUUGCUAGAGUACAAACUAUAUUGCAGACAUUAAGAUCCACAUGGGGAUUGGAGUGCAUCUAGGCUGCAUAGUGUUCCCUCUCAGUCAGCUUGUUGUUCGUCACAGGGAGGAGCGGUGACACGACAUGGGUAGGUCUAUGGUGCAGAACGUGGUCUGUAUAUUUUGCAGGGAAUAUAUUUAUUUCAUGUUCAUGUUGUUUUCCUUGGUGUACUCCAUAUAUUAAAUGCUCUUUGAAUUUUCCACAGCUCACUUAAAAGCUUAUCCAUGCAACAUGAUGUUCACUGAAAGUUCGUUUUCUGUGUCGGGGGAAGGAAGAAACUCGAAUACGCUGUCAUGCACAUGAAUCAUUUGAUCCUCCAGCAGGCAGCAGCCUUCGUUGUCUUGACUCCAAACAAAAGCUGAUUAGCCGCCGGGACAACAUGUCAGAAUUUGAAUAACUUGUGUAUUGACCCGGCUCCUCUAUCAUAGCUGUCAAAUGACUAUUAUUGAAGCAUGAUGAUCCGAUCGGUUGCCUUUAGCUAGUCAGAUGUCCUUAUCCUAGUUGUAUGAUAAUUCCUCCGUUCCGAAUUAUUUGUCGCAUAAAUAGAUAGAAAUGGAUAUAUCCAGAAUUAAAAAUAGGUCUAUAUACAUCUAUUACUGCGACAAAUAAUUGCGGAUGGCGGGAGUAUAUGUGAAAGUUUUGGUUGCGCCACCAUACCAGUGUGUCCUUUAUCCUCUCCUCACCGUCCAUUCUUUCAUCAAAUUCGUGAAAGAAAACUUCUCUUUUUUGGUUCUUCCAAAUAAAGAACAUGUAAAUUUGAAACUUUGCAGAUCAACAUCACACAAGUACUGCCAUGUGGAGAAUAGUUUUCGGAUUUUUUGACGCAAGAUAAAUUUUUUAAAAUGAUACAAUUCAUUCUAAAAUUUGAAAUUUGACAAAUUUAUGUUUCAUCCAACAAAAUCGGAAACAUUUCAUACAGUGAGUGACACUUGUAUAUAGUUGAUCCGCAAAGUUUCAAGGUCAAACAGUCUCUUGUUUGGAAGAAACAAAAAAUAGAAACUUCUAUAUAAGGAUAGCACGAAUCUUGAUGCAAACUGACUGGUCUAGAUAGAGUACAUUGGCUGAACUAAUUUCUUUUAGAUUUCUAUAUUUUACACAUCUUAGAAUUAUUAGCCUAUUUUAUUUCUUGAAUUGACAUGUAUUUAUGUGUAUUAGGGCCUGAUAAUUCCUUGAAAUUUUUGUUUGUAUGUAGGAAUACACCCUCAAAAAACUUCCUUUUGCCUAAAGAAAAUUUACGCAUGGGUGAUUUUUCCCAUUUUUUCUUUACAGAGUAUUCAUGUUUGGUUUGGGGCGGUGAGGUGAGGGAGUGUGGGAAUAAUGUUCUCCCAACCCUUUUCCUGUUCCGUUGGCAUGCUUAUCAUCACCGGUGGAAGGCGUGCAGAGCCGUGUCUCUAGCGCGUCUUCCGGAAUCCUAUUGGUUCGGGUUUUUGGUGGUUCUGUCUGGAUACAGCCGGUAUUGGUAGUCUAGGGAGUUCCUACAUGCCCUUAUCUAGUGAAAGUAUGCAAAAUUGAACCUAUGAACCCUAGGUUUUGUUUUCAAUCAUUAAAACUUCAUUUUACUCACUUUUGCAUACUUUUACUUUGUUCAUUUUAUUUAUUUUGAAAGCACAUAAACACUUAUAUCAUCGAAAUUAUUAAUCUCUUCAUCAAACUAGUGCACUUGCUAUAAGGGAACAAACUACACAAUAAAUUUUUAUCGCUACAAUCAUGACCAAGAUCACUAUGACGAUGACAGGAUGAAUCCAAUCUCACCAGCAAAAACACAACAAAGAGGAAGAAGAUGUGGGCAAUGACUCGCCAAUUCCGAUAGCUAGGUCGUACCUCCUAGCUGUGAGAAUAUCUUCAUCGAUCGAGAUUCGGUGUAGAUGACCCCUCAGCGGUAUCGAUGCGUACCAAAUUAGAGGUUUGGCAACACUUCGUUGUCCAGGAAAAGAUGGUCAAGAGGACUAGAGGGAGGAGCAGCCUAGCGGCUUAUCGGUCACACAGUGGGAAAGAGAAAUUUUGCGCAGAAGGGUGCAGUUGUCAUGACUUCACUAGUAGAAAAUAGGCCUUUCGUCUGGUCCAUUAGUCCCAGUCAGGUUUUGGCCCUGGACUAAUGGUACAAUUAGUCUCGGUUCCAACGGCUAGGAUUUAGUCCCGGUUCAUUUUUUACCUAUAGUCCCGGGACUAAAGGGGUGGUGGCAGGCUGGCGUCAGGCUGGGUCCACCACGAGCCCCUUUAGUCCCGGUUUGUAUCACAAACCGGGACUAGAGGUAGACCUCUAGUCCUGGUUUUUAUAACCAACCGGGACUAAAGAUGUCCCUGUAUAAACCCUUCGUCCAGCCCAAGCCCAUUAUCUGCUUUCUCCUUUCCCCUCUCUGCUAUUCCCCUUAGCUCGAGCUCAUCCUCCAUUUUUGCCAAGAUUUGUCAAUAUUUGAGGCACCCCAUCUCUCCAAGUGUUCACAAAGGUUAGCAACUUUGUCCUUUCAUCUCUCAUUGCUAGAUUAGCUCGUGCAAUGCUCUAUAAGUAUAGUGAUUUGUGGGUUUUAGUUUGGGAGUAAUUAUGUGGGAGUUUAUUUGAUUUAUAUGCAAUUUGAGCUCAAAUUAACUUCUUAGUUUGCAUAUGUGUAGGUGUGGUUUACUUAGUGCCUUCCCGUCCCCGUCCUAACCACCGUUGAUCGCGCACACCGUCCCGUCGCCGGCACCACCUUGGUGAGCCUCUUGUUCUUAUCCUUUUUAUAAAAAAAAUCUUAUUUGUAUGAUUUAGAUAGUUACUUGUAUAAUUUUCUUACUUGUAUGAUUGUUUGUUAUACAUAGUGACAUGGUCUUGAUAUCCGUCCCUGUCGGCCCUCGUCCGGUUUAUGAUUUGGAUGUGGUAUUCUCUUUUAUAACUAUUUGUUGCAUUUCGCGUUUAUGACAAUGAUGCCCAUCAAGUUGACAUAGAUAUUUUUAUCUAGGAGGUAUGUGAACCGGAAAUUGCAACCGACCCUCCUGUUGAGAAGUUAAACUUAGUUGAAAAAGAAAAAGUGUAUUUGAAACAAAAAUUGAAAAGAAUUGAAGAAGAGAAGAUGAAAUUGGAGUUGUAUGUUGCCGAUGUCAUCGAUGAUCACAAGAUCAAGAUGGAUGCAAAUGCGCUUGAAGAUUAGAAAGAUUAGAAAAUAUGCCUUUAAUAAAGAGGCUUGGUAUCACUAUGAUGUUGGAUCAAUUGUUACCUUAGUUGCAAUCUUGAUCGCAUUUGUUGUUGCAUUUAGAUGCUUUAGCUUUGUUUUAUGGGAAUAAGUGUGUAUGAACUUGUAUUUUUCGGUGUUGUGUAAUGAAGAUGAGCCGGCAAUGGAUGUACGAUGACUGACGCUCUCCCCAGUUCAUUGAUGGCGUGUAUAGUUUUCUAUGUGCAGCUGAGGCAAACAAGCGGGAUGGUUUUAUGUGUUGUCCAUGUGUUGUCUGUAAGAAUGAUAACAAUUACUCUAGCUCAAGAGUCAUUCACAUCCACUUGUUUACGUCCGGCUAUAAUUGUUGGACCAAGCACGGAGAAAGAGGGAUUCUAAUGGAAGAGAAUGAAGAAGAAGAGGAUGAUGACAGCUAUCCUGGGUUCCCUAAAUACGAUGGUAAUACAAUGGGGAAAGAAGCUGAAGAAGAGGCAUCAGAUGAGCCCGCUGAUGAUCUUGGUCGGGCCAUUGCUGAUGCAAAGAGAAUCUGCGCAAGUGAAAAGGAGAGUUGAAGUUGCAGCGCAUGUUAGAGGAUCACAAGAAAUUGUUGUACCCAAAUUGCGAAGAUGACAAGAAAAAACUGGGUACCACACUGGAAUUACUGCAAUGGAAGGCAGAGAAUGGUGUAUCUGAUAAGGGAUUUGAAAAGUUGCUGAAAAUGUUAAAGAAUAUGCUUCCAAAGGACAACGAAUUGCCCGACAGUACGUAUGAAGCAAAGAAGGUUGUCUGCCCUCUAGGAUUAGAGGUACAAAAGAUACAUGCAUGUCCUAAUGACUGCAUCCUCUAUCGCGGUGAGGAGUACGAGAAUUUGAAUGCAUGCUCGGUAUGCGGUGCAUUGCGCUAUAAGAUCAGCUGCGAUGACCCUGGUGAUGUUGAGGGCGAGCGCCCCAGGAAGAGGAUUCCUGCCAAGGUGAUGUGGUAUGCUCCAAUAAUACCAUGGUUGAAACAUUUAUUCCAAAACAAAGAGCAUCCCAAGUUGAUGCGAUGGCACAAAAAAGACCGUAAGAAAGACGGGAAGUUGAGAGUACCCGUUGAUGGGUCGCAAUGGAGAAAAAUCGAGAGAAAGUAGCCGGACUUUGCAGGUGGUGCAAGGAACUUUUGGUUUGAUUUAAGUGCAUAUGGCAUUAAUCCUUUUGGGGAGCAGAGCAACAAUCAUAGCACCUGGCCUGUGACUCUAUGUAUCUAUAACCUUCCUCAAUCGUUGUGCAUGAAGCGGAAGUUCAUUAUCAUACCAGUGCUCAUCCAAGGCCCCAAGCAACCCGGCAACGACAUUGAUGUGUACCUAAGGCCAUUAGUUGAAGAACUUUUACAGUUGUGGGAUAAAAAUGGUGUAUGUGUGUGGGGUGAGCACAAACGGCGCGCAGGAAUUUGACCUACGAGCGUUGCUGUUUGUAACCAUCAAUGAUUGGCCUGCUCUCAGUAACCUUUGAGGACAAACAAACAAGGGAUACCACGCAUGCAUGCACUAUUUAGAUGAUACCCAAAGUAUAUAUUCGGGUAAAUGUAAGAAGAAUGUGUACCUGGGACAUCGUCGAUUUCUUCCGAUCAAGUUUCUCUUAAGAAAGAAAGGCAAGCAUUUCAAAGGUGAGGCAGAUCACGGGAAGAAGCUUGAGCACCGUACUGGUGAUCAUAUACUUGAUAUGGUCAAGGAUUUAAAAGUAAUCUUUGGAAAGGGUCCUGGCGGACAAUCUAUUCCGAAUGACGCUGACGGACACGCACUCAUGUGGAAGAAGAAAUCUAUAUUUUGGGACCUACCCUAUUGGAGAGUCCUAGAGGCCCACUCUGCAAUCGACGUGAUGCACGUGACGAAGAAUCUUUGCGUGAAGCUGCUAAGCUUCUUGGGCAUGUAUGGGAAGACAAAAGAUACACCGGAGGCACGGGAGGACCAGCAACGUAUGCAUGGAAAAGACGGCAUGCAUCCAAAGCAGUAUCAAGGUCCUGCCAGCUACGCUCUUACCAAAGUAGAGAAGGAAAUCUUCUUUGAAUGCCUGCUCAGUAUGAAGGUCCUGUCUGGCUACUCGUCGAAUAUAAAGGGUGUCGGUGGAAAACGACACCUAUGGGAUCACUGGAAUCCCUUCUACGGUUGGCGGGCAUGGGGUUGUGCAAAGAGCAGGUCUAGAAGCCAGCACAAAGAUCGUUUACCCAGGUUCAGGCCGCGAGGAUGCGUAAUACCCUAGUCCUGCUUUGGUGUAUAUUUCAGUGUUCUUGAGCUCUCGAACUAGCUGUGGUGCGUGCGUAGUCCAAAAGAUCUGAAUCCUUCUCCCGUACGCCUCGAGCCUCCUUUUAUAGUCAAAAGGGGUUGCCAAAGUGACACACAGGAGGUGGAAAGGUAUACAGUGGUUAAGUCUAUCCUCUGGCACCAUUGGAAAAACACAUUUAAUGCGCUGCCAACGUGCCCUUCUUGCUUUAUCGGGGAUGGCUGGCAGCUCGUCCCAGCUGUCGCCGCCUCGCCUGGCUCCGACGCGCGUCCGAGCUGAUGAGGCGUUGUAGUGCCACAUUGGCUGGCUGCUGGGCUGGCGCGGUGGCAGAGUCUUCACGAAGAUCUGUAUGCCACCACAUAGGUGCUUGCUGAGUUGGCCUGGAGGCCGCGCGUCGCCACGCAGGUGCCUGCCCAGCUGUUUGGGCUGGCAGCUGUAUGGGAACAUCGGUGGAGUCUUGGCAGACGUGGGCCUGGCUGUGGCCCCGCAGGUGUCCUCGGCAAGGGUCUUGCCGGGGCCCCAGCAAGGGCCUUGCCGUGGCAUCGCGGUCGUCCCCGGCAAGGAUCUUGCCGGGGGUCUCGUGGUUUCCUCGGCAAGGAUCUUGCCGAGGAUCGUCGUCUUCUGGUCCUCAUCUGAUCUUGUGUGCUUAUGAUCUUCACAAAGAUCCGCAUGCCACCAUGGAGGUGCCUCCCGAGCCUUGGUUCCAAUGAGGUUGAUGGUGUUGGAACCCUUGGGCUCAAGGGUGGCGCGCUCUGCUGGCGUUGGGCAAGUUGCUCCGGCAAGGCUCUUGCCGGGGCUGUUGAGGCCGUCCCGGCAAAGGGCUUGCCGGGGGAGUCCACCUCGCCCUUCUGCUCUUUGUGUUUCCGUCUUGGCGUUGAUCUAGUCAUCUUGUGCCUUUGCUUCUUCUGCCCCGCCAAGCGUGGUCAGGGGCGUGGGGUUGCGACUACCCGCGCACAAGUAAAGGGGUGCAAAAAAAGAACCCCUACUUUUGUACACCGACAGGAGCCCCCGGGCCUGGGCCACAUAUAAGCGCGGAGCGUUAUUGGGCCAGGCCCAGAACGGUGCGCGGGCGCGCGGGCGGUGGAGUUUUUACCGCAGUAACUCCCUUGCUUGCUUGCGCUUCCCCACGACCCGCAUUGAAUGCGUGACGUGGAGGGUCGUGUGUGACGUUGGGGUCAUGCGUGGGGCGGUUCCUACCCUCAUGCGUCACAUCGCGGUAAAGAGGCGGCUCGCGCCUUCCCCAUAAAAAGAGGAAAACGCAGGGGCGCGGCUCAUUUACUGAGUGGACUCGAGUCGUGGCCUUCAAGGCGCCCGUGCCCUACGAUCACGGGGUGGAAAACGGUCACCUCACUCAUCCCCUCGAUUUCUUCUUGCUCGCCACAUGUCCCCCAUGCCUCGAAGAUGGUAGGCGGCAGACGCGGGUGGCACGGGCCUUAAAUGGCGAGGCGGGAAACCGGGUCGCCGCUGAUUGGAGCAGCGGGUCGGUCUCGAUUCCCUGCGCCCCUGAUGGCAGCGUUGGUUGAGUGGGGCGGCCGAGCCCCGACCCCACCCCUUUAUAAGAAGGGGAGGGGAUGGUACCCCUCAAUCUUUCAUCAUUAAUCUCCUUCCACCUUGGCUCCUUUAUUUCUUCUGGUAUGGCGAGAGGGCGCGCCGGCACUUCGACGGUGGCGACGAGGGUCUCCGCUCGACAGCGCGCCCCUCCUUCCCAAGAGCUCGUGGCGACGGAACCGGCCACGAGAGGAAGGGGGAGGGGGCGAGGCCGAGGUCGCCGUGCCACUCGGGGAACAGGAGGAUGGGGCGGUGCACCGGCCUCGCCUCCGCCAGCGGUCCCUCCCCUAAUGGAGGGCCACGUCGGGGACCAGCCCCGCAACUUCUUCAUCAGGCUGCACCGGCCAGUGCGCCGUCGUCUUCGUCUCCCUGCUCCUUUCGCUCGGGAGAUGGAGCUCGACUAGCCACAGACUCUGAGGUUGCAUAUGAGGGGCUGCGGGAAUGGCGGCACGCGGGUUGAUGUCGACUUUUCCAUCCCUCAUGUCAUGUAUCUUCGUCGCGGAUGGAAGACCUUCGCUCAUGUCCAUAGCCUGACGGAGGGGCUCGUUCUCUACUUCAAAUUAAUGGAGAACGGCCUGCUCUCCGUCAAGGUCUUUGGGGACUUUGGAACUCGCCUAAAGUGUUGCGUGGAGAGCUCCUCCGAUGACGAAGACUCCUCCUCAAGCGGAAGUGACGAGGAGGACAGCGACAGCGACGACGAGGGCGUCGAGCGGGGGGACACCGAAUCCGACUCCGACUGACCGCGUCGCCCCUCCCUUGGCCACGCGCCCUGCCGAGGGCCUUCCUCGUCAAGCUCUCCAUCAGCGCGUUCCCCGUCGCCCCCUUUUUUCCUUCACCUACCGCACCUGGGAGGAAAGGGGCAAGAACGGGGAUCAUGGGGCACUUAUCUUUUUUUAGUUUGUAAUCCUACGGGCCUUUGUAAGAUUUAAAUCUCGUAACCCCCUUGCUCAUGUAUGGAUUCCGUACGAAUUGUACUUGUUAGCAACGUAUUAAUCAGGAGAAGGGUGUUUGUCGGGUUUUGUUUGCGCGUGGGCAAGGGCCACACCAAGGAACGAGUCCUCGUUAUCUUAAGAUAAACACUGUACCCCGGCAACAGGCCUUGCCGUCUUCCUACUCUAUAGCUCGGUUACACUCACGCCCUUGGCGGAGGUAGGGGCCGAGUAGGAUUAGGCCCUUCGCUCGUCCCCUCCCCAUCGCGCUACAACCAAGUUCCAGCACAAAGUAAGGUUUUCGGACACGGGACAGAGGGAGCAAGAUGGUAUGAGAGCGAGUGAAGUCUCGUACGUUCAAGUUUCAUACGGAGGUACAAAGUGGGGGGAAAAGACUUAUCUGAUGUCGCAGCCCCUGGCAACCUUGGCUUGCCAUGAUCAGAUCCUUAGACCUACAGCCCCCGGCAACCUUGGCUUGUCGGGGUCGAGGCGUCGGCCUGUUCUCUUCCUUCCAAAAUAGCUCAGCGGAAAUGUCCACGCACCCUGUGAACCAAAAAGGACGGGAAGGAACAGAGAGAUGCAUACUCGAACUCUAUGCUAAGGGUUAGUCGCCGCCAAGCAAUAUCAACCCUAACACACAGAGAGACUCAACCUAGCAUGCAUGCUAAAACUUAGGGCGCCAGCGCUUCAUUUAUUUAUGCUCAGGGUCUGCGCCUGGCUUUGUACAAAGGGUUACAUGCCUUGCCGGCAAGGCUUGCACAAAAGGUGGUUUGCCGGGGAGCUCGGCAACCGCGCCUUAUGGGUAAAACUUGCGAAGAUGUUCGAUGUUCCAGGAGUUGCUCACUGGAAUACCAUCUUCGGUCUCCAGGCGGACUGCGCCGGGCCUGGUGACUCGUAUUACCCGAUAAGGGCCUUCCCACUUCGGCAUCAACUUGUUGGAAUUCUUGGCCGACUGAACAUGCUGAAGAACAAGGUCGCCUUCCUCAAAGCUUCGGGCAUAAACCUUGCGGCUAUGGUAGCGGCGCAAGGCUUGCUGGUAGCGUGCUGCUCGCACAGCCGCCCGAAGACGAUCUUCCUCAAGGAGCGUUGCGUCAUCUUGCCACAACUGCUCUUGCUCAAGCUCAUCAUAAGCGAGCACUCGAGGUGACCCGAACGUGAGUUCCGUGGGGAGAACUGCUUCUGCCUCGUAAACGAGGGAGAAAAGUGUCUGGCCGGUGGCUCGAUUUGGUGUCGUUCUGAUUGACUAAAGAACCGCCGGUAACUCAUCAAUCCAGCGCCGUCCGCACUUGUGUAGCCUGUCAAAAGUUCUUGUCCGGAGGCCUCACAAUACUUCAGCAUUCGCCCUCUCACCCUGGCCAUUUCUUCGUGGGUGUGCAACAGAAGCAAAACAGACCUUGAUGCCGAGGUCCUGGAUGUACUGCAUGAAGGUGCGACUCGUGAACUGCGUGCCGUUGUCGGUGAUGACUCUAUUUGGCACACCAAAAUGGCAGACUAGUCCCUUGAAGAAUUUGGCGGCCGACUGUGCUGUCACCUUUCUCACUGCCUCCACCUCCGACCACUUUGUGAACUUAUCGAUUGCGACGUACAAGUACUCAAAGCCCCCGACAGCACGGGGAAAGGGGCCCAAUAUGUCGAGCCCCCAAACCGAGAAUGGCCAGGAAAGAGGGAUUGUUUGUAGAGCUUGAGCUGGUUGUUGAAGCUUCUUUGAAUGGAACUGGCACGCUUCACACUUGGUUACUAGUGUCGUUGCAUCCUGGAGGUUUGUGGGCCAGAAGAAACCUUGCCGGCAAGGGCCCUCGACCCUAUGUGGGAGCCACAUAUGCCUCAGUGUAUCUCUGCCAACAGCUCCAGUCCUUCCUCCUGGGGAAUGCACUUUAAUUUCACACCGUUUGGUCUUUUUCUGUACAGAACGUCGUCGACAAACUGAUACAUGGCAGACUGACGGGCUACUUUCUCCGCUUCUUUCUGCUCCUCAGGGAGUUCCCUUGUUUGGAGGAAUCGGACGAUAUGUUGUGCCCAUGCCGGAGCCUGGGGCUCGACGGCAAGGACCAAAGGCAUUUCCUCUGCCAUGGGAGCGGCUGUCUCUACGGCCAGGGCUUGACGCCCUGCCGGAGCCUGUUGCCCCAUGGUCGGCUCAGUGUCCAUGGCAACAUCCUUGCCGACGGCUCCUGGGAGCUCGGCGGGAAAGUACUUGCCGGGGCCUGAUUUCCUCCGCUUGUUCUACUCUGUCGAUGGUUCAAUGGAUGGUUGAGUUAACCAAAGCACAAAAGUACCUGGUUCCACAGGUAGUUUGAGGGCAGCGCGUUUCGACAGGUAGUUGGCGAUGUCGUUCUCCACUCGGGGAACAUGCUCCGCUUGUAUACCGUCAAAACGCUCCUCCAGCUUCCUCACCUCAUCUACGUAGGCCUCCAUCAACGGGCUUUGAUAAUCUUUGUUAACUUGCUUGACGACAAGCUGUGAAUCACCCCUAACGAUGAUCUUCUUGAUUCUGAGGUCUGCCGCGAUCCUGAGACCGGUAAGAAACCCCUCGUAUUCAGCAGUGUUGCUUGUUGACAUCUCCCUGGGAAAGUGCAUCUGGACUACAUACUUGAGGUGCUCUCUAGUGGGUGCAACGAGCAGCACACCAGCACCGGCGCCUUGCAGCGAGAAAGCCCCGUCAAAGUACAUAAUCCAGUCGCGACUUGUUUCCUUGCCGGGAGUGGUCUCCUGAAUCUCUUCGUCGGGCGUUGAGGUCCAUUCCGCAAUGAACUCCACCAAGACUCUACUCUGAAUUUUCGAAGUGCUUUCAAACUUCAAACCAAAGCUCGACAGUUCCAAAGCCCAUUCCACAAUCCUCCCGGUUGUGUCUGGGUUAUGCAAUAUCCUUUGCAACGAGAAGCGGGUGACGACGGUGAUUUCGUGUGCUUGGAAGUAAUGACGCAGCUUCCUCGAGGCCAUAAGAAGGCCGAAGAGCAAUUUCUGCACACUGGAGUACCAUGACCUAGCCCCCUGCAAGAGGGAGCUGACAAAGUAAACCGGGCGCUGCAUCAUCUUCUUCUUCCGCACUAUUUCAUUUGGUUGCGUCGCUUCUGCUUCGCCAGCGUCAGACUCUGCCGGGGGCCUUGCCUUACCGGCACCAGGCCCUGCCGGGGGGAGCUCUGGUUUGCCAUCCACCAGCCCUGCCGUUGCCACUGCCUCUUCGUCGACCUCCCUCUGUGCCACUAGCGCGGCGCUGACCACUUGGUUCAUUGUCGUAGAUAUAGCAACAACGGUUCUUGUGGUUCAGGCGCAACCAGUAUUGGCGUAGAGGAGAGGUACUUCUUCAAAUCCUGCAGGGCUGCCUCGGCCUCUGGGGUCCAUUCCAUUGGGCCCGCCUUUUUCAAGAUUUUGAAAACGGGAAGGGCACGUUCGGCAGACUUGGAGAUGAAUCUGCUCAUGGCGGCAACGCAGCCAAUGAGCCGACGUACAUCCUUGAUCCGCCUAGGUGCCUUGAUCUGCUCAAUGGCCUUGAUCUUGUCUGGAUUCGCCUCGAUCCCACACUGUGACACAAAGAACCCGAGAAGUUUGCCGGACGAAACGCCGAAGACAAACUUCCCAGGGUUCAGCUUGAGGUUGAUCUUGCGCAAAUUUGCAAACGUCUCUUCUAAAUCUUGUACGAGUGUUGCCCUGUCCUUGGUUUUGACCACUAUGUCAUCCAUAUAAGCUUCCAUAUUUGUAUGUAGCUGGGGCUCAAAAUGAAUUUGGACCGCUCUUGCAAAUGUUGAGCCAGCACUCUUCAACCCGAAAGGCAUUCGUAAAAAACAAUACGUACCACAUGGGGUGAUGAAUGUUGUCUUCUCUUCAUCUUCUCUCGUCAUGAAGAUCUGGUGGUAUCCUGAGUAGGCGUCAAGGAACGAUAACAAGUCGCACCCGGUCGUGGAGUCAACAAUCUGGUCAAUGCGCGGCAAUGGGAAAGGGUCCUUCGGACAAGCCUUAUUGAUAUCUGUGUAAUCAAUACACAGCCUCCACUUCCCAUUUGCCUUGCGCACCACCACCGGAUUGGCCAACCACGUCAGAUGAAGUCCUCCCCUCACCAAGCAUGCCGCUUCUAACUUCCUGAUCUCCUCCGUGAUGAACUCCUGCCGUUCCAAAGCCUGCUUCCUGACCUUCUGUUUGACGGGUCGCGCAUGAGGACAGACAGCAAGAUGGUGCUCAAUCACCUCCCUGGGAACGCCGGGGAUGUCGGAUGCUUGCCAUGAAAACACAUCAACAUUCACCCGCAGGAAGGUGACGAGCGUGCCUUCCUAUUUGCAGUCAAGGGAGGAGCUUAUGGUGAAAGCCCCUCCCGUGCCAUCCUCCUUGACGGACACCUUCUUGGUCUCUGGUGGUGCAGCUCUGGAUUUCUUGCUCUUGCCGGUGGAGCUCUCUGGCACGUCCUCAAUGGGAGCACAGCACUCCGAAGAGGUGUGAUGUCUACUACGCAACCUUCUUCUUGUAGACGUUGUUGGGCCUCCAAUGCAGAGGUUUGUAGGACAGUAGCAAAUUUCCCUCAAGUGGAUGACCUAAGGUUUAUCAAUCCGUGGGAGGCGUAGGAUGAAGAUGGUCUCUCUCAAACAACCCUGCAACCAAAUAACAAAGAGUCUCUUGUGUCCCCAACACAUCCAAUACAAUGGUAAAUUGUAUAGGUGCACUAGUUCGGUGAAGAGAUGGUGAUACAAGUGCAAUAUAGAUGAUAGAUAUAGGUUUUUGUAAUCUGAAAAUAUAAAAACAGCAAGGUAACUAAUGAUAAAAGUGAGCACAAACGAUAUUGCAAUGCUAGGAAACAAGGCCUAGGGUUCAUACUUUCACUAGUGCAAGUUCUCUCAACAAUAAUAACAUAAUUGGAUCAUAUAAGUAUCCCUCAACAUGCAACGAAGAGUCACUCCAAAGUCACUAAUAGCGGAGAACAAACGAAGAGAUUAUGGUAGGGUACGAAACCACCUCAAAGUUAUCCUUUCUGAUCGAUCUAUUCAAGAGUCCGUGGUAAAAUAACAUGAAGCUAUUAUUUCCGUUCGAUCUAUCAUAGAGUUCGUACUAGAAUAACACCUUAAGACACAAAUCAACCAAAACCCUAAUGUCACCUAGAUACUCCAAUGUCACCUCAAGUAUCCGUGGGUAUGAUUAUACAAUAUGCAUCACACAAUCUCAAAUUCAUCUAUUCAAACCAACACAAAGUACUUCAAAGAGUGCCCCAAAGUUUCUACCGGAGAGUCAAGACGAAAACGUGUGCCAACCCCUAUGCAUAAGUUCACGAGGUCAUGGAACCUGCAAGUUGAUCACCAAAACGUACAUCAAGUAGACCAUGUGAUAUCCCAUUGUCACCACAGAUAAGCACAUGCAAGACAUACAUCAAGUGUUCUCAAAUCCAUAAAGACUCAAUCCGAUAGAUAACUUCAAAGGGAAAACUCAAUCCAUUACAAGAGAGUAGAGGGGGAGAAACAUCAUAAGAUCCAACUAUAAUAGCAAAGCUCGCGAUACAUCAAGAUCAUACCACCUCAAGAACACGAGAGAGAGACAUCAAACACAUAGCUACUGGUACAUACACUCAGCCCCGAGGGUGAACUACUCCCUCCUCGUCAUGGAGAGCGCCGGGAUGAUGAAGAUGGCCACCGGUGAGGGAUCCCCCCUCCGGCAGGGUGCCGGAACAGGGUCCCGAUUGGUUUUUGGUGGCUACAGAGGCUUGCGGUGGCGGAACUCCUGAUGUAUUCUGUUCUCCAAUGUUUUUAGGGUAUAUGGAUAUAUAUAUAUAGCCGAAAGAAGUCGGUCAGGGGAGCCACAAGGGGCCCACGAGGGUGGGGGCGCGCCUCCCUGCCUCGUGGCCACCUUGAUGCUUCCCUGACGUCUACUCCAAGUCUUCUGGAUUGCUUCCGUUCCAAAAAUAACUCUCCCGAAGGUUUCAUUCCGUUUGGACUCCAUUUGAUAUUCCUUUUCUUCGAAACACUGAAAUAGGCAAGAAAACAGCAAUUUGGGCUAGGCCUCCGGUUAAUAGGUUAGUCCCAAAAAUAAUAUAAAAGUGUAUAAUAAAGCCCAUAAACAUCCAAAACAGAUAAUAUAAUAGCAUGGAACAAUCAAAAAUUAUAGAUACGUUGGAGACGUAUCAAGGUGCGCUUGUCGGAGUGGGUGCGAGAGGUCUUGCCGGUCUUCUUCCCUCCCGGGGCUUCGGUGGCAGGAGCAAGUGCCUUGGCGGCAGUUGCUGCAACUGCCUCCCGGUAGAGUUGGUCAGCGCAGAUCAGCGCAUCCUUCUUGUCGGAGGGGACGGUGAUGAUGGUCAUCGGCCCAGGCAUCUUCAGCAUGUUGUAGGCGUAAUGUGAGGCCGCCAUGAACUUGGCUAGUGCUGGGCGGCCGAGGAUCCCAUUGUAGGGCAAGGAGAUCUCGGCUACAUCGAAAAUAAUCAUCUCUGUCAUGUAGUUCAACUCGCCUCCAAACGUCACGGGCAGCGUGACCUUACCCUUCGGCUGACUCCUUCCCGGGUUGACCCCUUGAAAUGUGCCCGUCUCUUCGAGGUCUUCAUCAGGAAUCUGCAGCCUUUUGAUCACAACAGGCGAGAUCAAGUUCAGACCGGCCCCGGCAUCAACCAGCAUUUUCGUCACCUUGAGGUUGCGUAUUGUUGGUGAAACCAACAGCGGCAAACACCCGACCGCAGUUGUGCGAUCAGGGUGGUCCUCGGUGUAAAAAUGAUAGGCGUGCUGGACCACUUCAGUGGCGUUUGAGCAUCGAACGAGGGUUCUGCUACUGUGAUCUCACGCGCGCACUGCUUGAGCUGGCGGUGAGAGGUGUGCAGCGAGGCGCCACCGUCGACGCACAUGGCCUCUGUAGCUUUCUGGAACUCAUGCUCGCCGUACUCGUCGUCCUCGUCAUGAUCAUCGUCUUCUUGCUUCUUGUCGCGGCCCCGAGCAGGCCUCUCUUGCUGAUCCUUGCCGCGGCGACCUCCUUGGCCGCCACGCUUCUUGCCGGAUCCCUCGGCACCAUCCCGACCCUUCUCCUUGUCCCGCCUCUCAUACUCAGCUUUUUGCUUCUCAGCAAGCAGCUCAACUUGCCGGCAAUUCUGGAGGUCGUGGCCCUUGGUGCGGUGGAUCUUGUAGUACUGCUUGUCGGAGCCUCCUUGCUUGUCGGCAGCCGCCAAGGCCCGGCAAGCGGCGCACCCGGCAGUUUCCUUGCCGGGGUCGUCUGCCUUGGCCUUCUUGGCAGCGCCGGUGUCCUCGGAUCCCUCGACGACAAGCACGGUCUUGCCCUUGCGCUUCCUGUUGCAGCGCCGACCCUUCUUCGUCGGGGCGGCUGUGUCUUCGUCUGUGGAGUCGGUUUCCGCACCGGCGUCCUCGCCGGGGUACUUCCUCCCCUCUUCAGCUCGAGCGCACCUAUCGGCCAGAACAUAAAGUUCGGCCACAUCUUUGACCUUAUUCAUCGCCAGCUCUUCACGCAUCUUGCGGUUGCGCACAUUCUGAUGGAAUGCGCUGAUCACGGCGGCGGGAUGAACAUCUGGGAUGUUGUACUGCACCCGGCUGAACCUCUGUAUGUACUUGCGCAGGGUUUCACCUUCCUUCUGGGGGGUGAUAUGCAAAUCGCUUACCUGGCCAUGAGCUUGGUGGCCUCCAGUGAAGGCGCCAACGAACUCAUGACACAAAUCCGACCAAGAAGAAAUGGAAUCCGCCGGCAAGUGCAUCAACCAUGACAUGACAUUGGGUUUAAGUGCCAACGGGAAGUAAUUGGCAAGCACCUUGUCGUCGCGAGCUCCAGCAGCUUGCAUCGUGAUGGUGUAGAUGCUGAGGAACUCCGACGAGUGGGUCUUGCCGUUGUACUUCUCGCCAACGUCGGGCUUGAACGUGCGGUGGUAGGGCCACUGGAACUGUCACAGCUCACGGGUAAAGGCUGGGCAACCCACCUCGUAGGGUAGGCCGCCAGAGCCUCCCGGUGCUGGGUGGUCCAUAGUGGGCCUCGCCCGCCUAUCUGACUGGUGGGGUGCUUCACGCCGGCGCUCGAUGGUGGUUCGAGCGUCUUCAUGGGCUCGCUCUCGAAGAACUUGGCGCUGAUCGCGGUGGGUCCGUGGGUCGGACGAUGCUAUGGAAAUGUUAUCACAAGCGUCAUCACGACGGAUCGACACCCACAGUGGCUGGUCUGGGGGAGGAGAGUGCAUCAUGGCCGCAGAACCUCCGGUCCUUCCACCACCGGCAUGCGGUGGCUCGACGGAGCGCCGUCCCGAGGGCCCCGCUGGUCGUGGCUCAUCUUUGUUGGCAACGGCGACGAGGCUCCGGAUGGUGGCUCUCCACUCGUCGAGAUUUUCCGCAGCAGGAGGAAAGUCGAGGAGCAACUGCGCACGCACCAAAGCUUCUGCUGGCGUGGGUGGCGGCGAAAGCUGCGUGGACCAUGACGCUCUCCGACUUCUAACCAUGUUAGAAGGAGCUCUAUCACGGCCUUGCGGCUGUGCGCCAUUUUCGCCCGUGCCUCGGCGUGCUUGUUGGCCUUCUACGUCCUGCGAAUGAGGCACAUGACUCUUCCCACGGCGGCGCCCGGGCUCACCAGCGUGGUGACGCUGCUCGUCACGCACAACCUGGGAAGAGCGCGUCGUGGGCGCCGGCGUAGGCAUCUUGGAAGUCACCGCGCCGCCCAUGGGCGGCACGACGCGGCCCUUGGAGGGCCCCGCGCCGCCUGCGGGGGGCCCGGCUCCGUCUUUGCAUUUGGCGGCGUGCGGCCCGUCGUCUCGCACACGAACGACGCCGCUCGCCAGGCUUUGACUGCCAGAGCAAUGUGGGUGUUCGCGGGCCACGCCUCGGCUUCCAUCCGUGACCGCCCCACCACUCGCCCGCACUGGUACGGGUCGUUCGGCUCCCGAUGAACUGAUCGCCAUGAUCGUCUUCUUCUUGGGAGCCAUGGCGAUGAAGAACUGCUAAACUAACUGCUAGACCGGAUUUUCACAACCGCGCCCCCUACCUAGUGCGCCAAAGAUGUCGGUGGAAAACGACAACUAUGGGAUCACUGGAAUCCCUUCUACAGUUGGCGGGCGCGGGGUUGUGCAAAGAGCUGGUCUAGAAGCCAGCACAAAGAUCAUUUACCCAGGUUCGGGCUGCGAGGAUGUGUAAUACCCUAGUCCUGCUUUGGUGUAUAUUUGAGUGUUCUUGAGCUCUCGAACUAGCUGUGGUGCGUGCGUAGUCCAAAAGAUCCGAAUCCUUCUCCCGUACGCCUCGGGCCUCCUUUUAUAGUCAAAAGGGGUUGCCAAAGUGACACACAGGAGGUGGAAAGGUAUACAGUGGUUAAGUCUAUCCUCUGGCACCAUUGGAAAAACGCAUUUAAUGCGCUGCCAACGUGCCCUUCUUGCUUUAUCGGGGAUGGCUGGCAGCUCGUCCCAGCUGUCGCCGCCUCGCCUGGCUCCGACGCGCGUCCGAGCUGAUGAGGCGUUGUAGUGCCACAUUGGCUGGCUGCUGGGCUGGCGCGGUGGCAGAGUCUUCACGAAGAUCUGUAUGCCACCACAUAGGUGCUUGCUGAGUUGGCCUGGAGGCCGCGCAUCGCCACGCAGGUGCCUGCCCAGCUGUUUGGGCUGGCAGCUGUAUGGGAACAUCGGUGGAGUCUUGGCAGACGUGGGCCUGGCUGUGGCCCCGCAGGUGUCCUCGGCAAGGGUCUUGCCGGGGCCCCAGCAAGGGCCUUGCCGUGGCAUCGCGGUCGUCCCCGGCAAGGAUCUUGCCGGGGGUCUCGUGGUUUCCUCGGCAAGGAUCUUGCCGAGGAUCGUCGUCUUCUGGUCCUCAUCUGAUCUUGUGUGCUUAUGAUCUUCACAAAGAUCCGCAUGCCACCAUGGAGGUGCCUCCCGAGCCUUGGUUCCAAUGAGGUUGAUGGUGUUGGAACCCUUGGGCUCAAGGGUGGCGCGCUCUGCUGGCGUUGGGCAAGUUGCUCCGGCAAGGCUCUUGCCGGGGCUGUUGAGGCCGUCCCGGCAAAGGGCUUGCCGGGGGAGUCCACCUCGCCCUUCUGCUCUUUGUGUUUCCGUCUUGGCGUUGAUCUAGUCAUCUUGUGCCUUUGCUUCUUCUGCCCCGCCAAGCGUGGUCAGGGGCGUGGGGUUGCGACUACCCGCGCACAAGUAAAGGGGUGCAAAAAAAGAACCCCUACUUUUGUACACCGACAAAGGGAAUAAUAAAUAUGGUAGAGAAAAAAUUCGAAAACCUAAGUCUCAUGACUGCCACGUGAUUGUGACGCAAUUGCUUCUGGUUGCAUUGAGGGGGCUUCUACCGGAAAAUGUUCGAUUAGCCAUUGUGAAGCUAUGUGCAUUCCUUAAUGCAAUCUCUUAGAAGGUAAUCGAUCUAGAAAUCCUACCAAGGUUACAGAAUGAUUUGGUGCAAUAUCUUGUCAGUUUCGAGUUGGUGUUCCCGCCAUCCUUCUUCAAUAUCAUGACGCACGUCCUAGUUCACCUAAUCAACGAGAUUGCCAUUCUGGGUCCUAUAUUUCUACACAAUAUGUUCCCUUUUGAGAGGUUCAUGGGAGUCUUAAAGAAAUAUGUUCAUAACUGUGCUAGGCUAGAAGGAAGCAUCUCCAAGGGCUAUGAAAUAGAGGAGGUCAUUGAGUUUUGUGUUGACUUUAUUCCUGACCUUAAGCUGGCUGGUGUUCCUGAACUGCGGCAUGAGGGCAGACUGGGUGGAAAAGGCACGCUAGGAAAGGAUCCAGUAAUAUGUAUAGACGGGCAUUCUUGAGCUCAAGCACAUUCCACCUUGGUGGCUCCGUAUAUCGAGGAACACAUGGAUAUUCUAUGCUCCAAGAACCCGGAGCAGUCUGUGCCCUGGAUCAAAUGUACACACAUGGCGUCAUUCGGCGGUUUGUUGCAAACAUGUCUCAUGCAUGACGACACUGUUGGAGAUGAGUUGUACUUGCUGGCAAAGUCACCAUCUUCGACUAUAUUGACUUUCAAAGGGUAAAAGAUAAAUGGGAAUACAUUUUACACGAUCGCCCAAGAUAAAAAGAGCACCAACCAAAACCAUGGUGUCUGCUUUGAUGCAGCAAACACCAAUAUGCCAAAGGACACAUAUUAUGGUUACACAAAGGAGAUAUGGGAACUUGACUAUGGACGUGAUUUGAAGGUUCCUUUGUUUCGGUGCAAAUGGGUCAAUCUGAUAGGAGGCGGGGUAAAGGAAGACCCGCGGUACAGAAUGACAACAGUGGAUCUCAACAAUCUUGGGUACACAGACGAACCAUUCGUCCUAGCCAAUGAUGUGGCGCAGGUUUUGUAUGUGAAGGACAUGUCUACCAAGCCGAGAUAAAGAAAAGAUAAGGAAGCGAAUACAUCAUACGAUGAGCCAAAGCGCCACAUAGUUCUUUCAGGGAAAAGAAACAUCGUGGGAGUGGAGGACAAGACAGACAUGUCAGAAGAUUAUGAAAAGUUUCAUGAAAUUGCUCCCUUCACAGUGAAGACUGACCUAAGCAUCCUGUUAAAUGAUGAAGAUUGUCCAUGGAUACGGCGCAAAGGGACACACGCAUAGAAAAAGUUUUAUACCCCAAGAUCCCACUCUGGGAUGUGACCAACUUCACCAUCAUCACUUUCUUCUCUAGUGAGUUUCCGUACUUGUCUGGAAAGUCCCACUUUGGACAAACCGGAGGGAAUCUUUGUAAUAGUUGGGGUAUAUAUGUGUUUUGGCAUUUGAAACGCGAAGAAACAUUAUGUAGGAGUUUUUUUUACUAUGAACAUUAUGUAGGAGUUAAUCAAUCCAAUUAUGUCCAAAGAAGAUAUUUCACUACGUAUUUUGCAAGGUUGAUCAUACGCGGUUAGCCACGUCAUCAAUUUUCAACCCUUUCUGACUUUAUUUGCUAUUUUUUGAGCUAAAUGACCCUGAAAUUGAAAAGCACUACAAAUGAAUUCUGAAAAGGUUGAAACUUGGCAUGGUAUCACCAUUUCACCCACAUAGCAUGUGCUAAAAAGUUGAGAGGGUUGCGGCAAAAACUGGAUGAACUUCGUGUAAAAAAUGGACAAUCUCUUUCGAAGUAUCAGGGUUUCAGAUGAAAACUCAUCUGUUACAAAGGCAUGUCAUUUUCCUAAACUUAUUUUAACUCCAGACUUUUUGUGCAUUCAAUAUGCACCAUUCAAAGCCACGUCAUCAAUUUUCAACCCUUUCUGACUUCAUUUGCUAUUUUUCAUGAAUUUAUUGAUUUUUUUGAGCUAUAAACCUAAAAGAGCUAAACAGAAUCUGUUUUUGAUUAAAACACCUAUUUAAAAUAACCUAAAAUUUACCAAAUUGAACAUACUGAUAAAACACACUAAUAUUAAAUAGCAGGAAGAAGAAUCACUCAAAAAUCUAUGUUUAAAGUAAAGUUAUUCACAAACUAGUGAUUCACACAAAUUUCAAAGAAUUGAAAUUUAAACUAUUCAAAUUUGUGAACUACUGGCACUAGCAGAAAGUUUAUAAUUUUUGUGACCUAAAGCAAAAAUAUACACUCAAAAACUCUAAAUAUUUGGCUGUAAGUAGAAACAAAAGCAAAAAAAGCUGGAAAAAGACUUUAGUCCCGGUUGCCACCACCAGCCGGGACUAAAGGGCCCCCUCCCGCGCUGAAUUUGGGCCGCCCCAAAACAGCCCUUUAGUCCCGGCCCGUGGCUGAAACCGGGACUAAAGGUUGUACCUUUAGUCCAGGUUCCAGCCACGCACCAGGACUAAAGGUCCUUUAGUCCCGGUGCGUAGUCCCGGUGCGUGGCUGGAACCGGGACUAAAGGUCCAUUCUAUAUAACCUGACACUUAGCAUUUUCAGCCUUGAUACGUCUCCAAUGUAUCUAUAAUUUUUGCUUGUUCCAUGCUGUUAUAUUAUCAUUCUUGGAUGUUUUACAAUAAUUUUAUAGCAACUUUAUAUCAUUUUUUGGUACUAACCUAUUGGCAUAGUGCCCAGUGCCAGUUGCAGUUUUUUUGCUUGUUUUUUAUUUCACAGAAUAACAGUACCAAACGCAGCGAAACUUUUUGGUGAUUUUGUUUGGACCAAAAGACAUCCAGUGGGCCAAAGAAGUACUAGAGGGGAGGCCCGAGGUGAGCACAAGACACCUGGGCGCGCCAGGAGGCCCAUGCGUGCCCAGGUGGGUUGUGCCCCACCUCGGUGACCUCCCGCACCGCCUCUUCGCCCUAUAAAUACCCCCAAUAUUCCAGGAACCCUAGGUAAGUCGACAAAACACAAUUCCAGCUGCCGCAAGUUCCAGAACCACGAGAUUCAAUCUAGACACCAUCACGAAGGGGUUCAUCAUCCUCAUUGGUGCCUUUCCGAUGAUGCGUGAGUAGUUCACUGUAGACCUACGGGUCCGUAGGCAGUAGCUAGAUGGGUUCCUCUCUCUUUUUCAUUCUCAAUACAAUGGUCUCUUGGAGAUCUAUUUUAUGUAACUCUUUUUUGCGGUGUGUUUGUUGGGAUCCGAUGAAGUUUGAGUUUAUGAUCAGAUCUAUAUCCAUGAAAGUUAUUUGAGUUUUCUUUGAUCUCUUAUAUGCAUGAUUACUUAUAGCCUCGUAUUUAUUCUUCGAAUCUUUGGUUUAGUUAGGCCAACUAGAUCGAUUUUUAUUGCCAUGGGAAGAUGUGCUUUGUGAUGGGUUCGGUCGUGCGGUGUUCUUUCCCAGUGACAGAAGGGACAGCAAGACACACAUGUAUCGUUGCUAUUAAGGAUAACAAGAUGGGGGCUAUUCCUACAUGAAUAGAUCUCGUCUACAUCAUGUCAUCGUUCUUAUUUCAUUACUCUGUUUCUCCAUGAACUUAAUACACUAGAUGCAUACUGGAUAGCGGUCGAUGUGUGGAGUAAUAGUAGUAGAUGCAGGCAGGAGUCGGUCUAGUAAUCUUGGACGUGAUGCCUAUAUAAUGAUCAUUGCCUGGAUGUCAUAAUUAUUCGACCUUCUAUCAAUUGCCCAGCAGUAAUUUGUUUACCCACCAUGUGCUAUUUUCUCGAGAGAAGCCACUAGUGAAAUCUACGGCCCCCAGGUCUAUUCUUUAUCAUAUUUGCUUUGAGAUCUAUUUUUAUUUUCUUUUAUUUUCAGAUAUAUUAUUCCAAAAACCCAAAAAUACCUUGCUGCAUUUUUUUAUUACUUAUUCUAUUUCACGUUUUAUUGAGAGCUAUUUAUCCAAUCUACCAUAAAUUUAUCUAUCUUUUUCCGUGGAGGGAUUGACAACUACUCUUACGCGUCGGGUUGCAAGUAUUUGUUCUUUGUGUGCAGGUACCGUUUACAUAGUGUUGCUUGGUUCUCCUACUGGAUUGAUACCUUGGUUUCAUAACUGAGGGAAAUACCUACCAUAGCUGUGCUGCAUCAUCCCUUCCUCUCUGGGGAAAUACCGACGUAGUUCAGGCGGCAUCAAAAGGAAUUUCUGGCGCCGUUGCCGGGGAGACAUCAUCAACAUCUAUCAGGUUCCUAAUCACAAAUCUCAUCUCCUUGCAAUUUAAAUUAUUUGCCAUUUGCCUCCCGUUUUCAUCUCCCCCACAUCACAAAAAUUUGUCGUUUUAUUCGCCUUGUUUUUCUUUCGCCGUUUUGUCGUCAGAUCUAUCUUUUUGUUUGCAAUCUUGUUUGCGUUGUCACGAUGUCUCAAGUAAACACCAAGUUGUGUGAUUUUCCCAAUACCAAUAAUAAUGAUUUUAUUAGUACUCUGAUUGCUCCUCCCGCCAUUAGUGUGAAAUCUUGUGAUAUUAAUGCCGCUUUGUUGAAUCUUCUUGCGAAAGAUCAAUUUUUCGGUACUCCUAAUGAGGAUGACGCGUCCCAUCUAAACACAUUCAUAGAAUUGUGUGAUAUGCAAAAGAAAAAAGAUAUGGACAAUGAUAUUGUGAAGUUGAAAUUAUUUCCUUUCUCUUUAAGGGAUCGUGCAAAAAUUUGGUUUUCUUCUUUGCCUCACAAUUGUAUCGAUUCUUGGGAUAAGUGCAAAGAUGCAUGUAUUACUAGUAUUUUCCGCCCACGGAAAAUAUUUCCCUUAGAACUCAAAUCAUGAAUUUUAAGCAACUUGAGCAUGAACAUGUUGCACAAUCUUGGGAAAGAAUGAAAUUGAUGAUAAGAAAUUGUCCUACUCAUGGUUUAAAUCUUUGGAUGAUCAUACAAAAAAUUUAGGGUUAAUUGGAUAAAUGUCACUCCAAUUUUGGCCAUUCCGAAAAAUACCACUCCAAUUUGCAAACUUCAGAAAAUGUCACUCCAAUUCUCGCAUACUUCUGUCGAUGCCACUCCAGCCACUUGAGCUUGUUUUUGUACAAAAACACUCACGUAUACGUUCUGUACUUUCUCUUGGAUAGAAAUGCCCCUACAUCCAUCUGGUUAGCACGCACCGUGCCUAUCUUCUUCCUCCUGUUCAUUGUUCCUCUCCUCGUUCCCCUCCUCUCUCGCCAAGAACCCUAGCUGCCACCGUGCUGCUCCUCCACAUCCCCAGCCUUCGCCCUGCUACUCCACACCAUCACCCCCCUGUUGUUGCUCCACAUCCCGUCCCGCCACCCUGUUGCUUCCCAUCGCCGAGCAGGAGUCUCAGCCAGCGCGCCGCGCCCCAAGCGCCUUUCCACUCUGGCCCCAUUCCCCCUGCCCCCCUUCACUAUCUCCCAUGUCCUUCCGCCGAAGCUCGCCGCCAGCCUCUUCUGUCCUCACUCCCCCUUGCCCCAGCUUCCUCUGCUCCAUCUUCCAUGGCAAGGAGAGUUGUCGGGGCCAUUGGAGGUGGAGGAUGGAGCUCGUCUGUCGUUAUUUAGAUGAUCUAAAGAGCAAGGAGAUGGAGAAGAUCGCAGGUCGCCUUGCUGAAUCUAAGAGGAAGAAAAAUGAUGCAGGUGGCUUGUUUUUGGAUGAACUAAAGAUUGUUGAAAUGAACUUUGCACAAUGGCAGAUGGAAGAACUAAAGAUUGAGAAUGCAAAAAUAUGUGCCAUUUGUAUGAAUUACUGGUGGUUGUACUGAAAAAGAUGUAACUAGUGGCCGUACAGAGAAAUGAGUAAUGAAGAAUGUGUUAUUUUCCUAUGCAGAAGAAGCAUGAAUGUAUUGUGCAGAGGAAGCAUAAAUGUACUGUCACAAUAUUUGUCCAUGAACAAAGCAUGAACUUAGUGGAAAAAAUGGACAUGACCUCUGGCAAAAUACAUAUAAUUUUGCAUCAGAUGACAAGUCAUAAUAUUUUGCAUCAAUAAAAGAUGAAACAAAAUAGUCUUAAAGCUCCUAUUUGAGCAUCCCACACACAAGCUCUAGUUUGAGCCUCACACACAAGUUCAAGCUCCAGUUUGAGCAUCACACACACACAUAGGUUGAAGCUCCAGUUUGAGCAUCACACACACAUACAUGGUCCAGUUCAAGCAAAUUCGACCCCCAAGCCAAUAAAGCAGAUUUUUCUUGGUUCCUAGAGUUGGCUUUAGAACAGCAUCACUAGUAGAUGGUGUAACGAACUGCAGUUUUUGCUCUUCUUCCCUGUAGUUUUGUCCUUUCCGGUACCUUCACUUUGCUUGCCUUUCCCCUUGACCGGAGUUCUUCUUGACCGACGUCUUCUUCUUCUUAACCCGUGUCUUCUUCUUAACCGGCGUCUUUUUCUUCUUGACCGGUGUCUUCUUCUUAGCCGGCGUCGUUUUCUUCUUGACCGGUGUCGUCUUCUUGACCGGCGUCGUCUUGACCAGCGUGUUCUUCAGCAUAUGUCAAAAAUAAGUAUUGUGUGUGUUCAUAAAUAUAAUUUGUGGUAAAAGAAUGAACAUAAGUUAGUAUGAUACCUUUUAUAAUUUGCGAUAGGUUCGUCAUCUUCCACAACUUCCUCCUCGGUUGCAGUAGCAUCUCUCUUUUUGCAUGAUAGAAAAAGGUGAAAUGGUUUAGCAACAUUAACCCAAUUGACAUAAUCAAAUUUAGGUAAGUACAAUGGCACCUUUUACUAGGAGUGUGCUCCAUUGGUGGUGGUUCUACAAUAACUAAAGGAGGGAGAUUGCAAGUUUUCGCAAAGUGGCCAUUUCGACCGCAUUUUUUCCAUUUGACUACUUUCCUGCCUGGGUCUUCAAGAAAUCCUCUAAUUCUUUGAACCCUAGACCUUCCAGGUGGCCUUUUCUCUUGUACAGGUGGGUAAACCAUGAAUCCAAGGUCAACUUGCUCCCAUUGUGUCCUAUCUGUCAUGGUUGGCAGUGCCCCAGCAUAAGCAGCCUUAAAUUUUGCCACACUGUAAUACUCAUCAACAAAGGACUCAAUCUUUGUGCCCCUCAUUGAACAAAUGAAAUCAAUGCAUGAAUGCAAGGCUGCCCAGAAACUUGAAAUUUCUGACAUGAGCAUGUUCUCUGUUUUAGAUCAACCGUGUGCCUCUGGUCAUAUGCUUUCUCAUCAUAUAGUGUAAUCUCUGCCUCAUGUUCUGUAUUCCACGCCACUUUAUGGGGCCCAAUUGUUUUACUGAGUGCAUUGAGCCUCUUGAGAACCUCGGGAAAAAUUAUGUCGGCCAAAUGCCUACCAACAUGCCUCCUCACAUUGAACUUCACCAUUAUUAGCUCUCUAAUCCUAUCCAGUAGCUCACACAAAUUUAACCCUUUCAAAUCUUUGAUUUGCUUGUUGAAACUUUCAGAAAUAUUGUUAGUGAGAUAAUCAACCUUGCUAUCCACACCAAAGGCGCACCUAUACCAAAUCCUAUUAUGGUGUUUCUCAAGGUACUCAAUAGCACUUGGAUCUGCCUCAAAUAUCUUCUGCAUAUGCCAUCUAAAUUUGUGCACUUUUCUACGUCUACGGUCUAUAUCAGAGUCCUUCCCUUCACAUAAUUCUGUUGCAAAUAUGCCCUAGAGGCAAUAAUAAAUGGUUAUUAUUAUAUUUCUUUGUUCAUGGUAAUUGUCUAUUAUUCAUGCUAUAAUUGUAUUGUCCGGAAACCGUAAUACAUGUGUGAAUACAUAGACCACAACCUGUCCCUAGUAAGCCUCUAGUUGACUAGCUCGUUGAUCAACAGAUAGUCAUGGUUUCCUGACUAUGGACAUUGGAUGUCAUUGAUAACGGGAUCACAUCAUUAGGAGAAUGAUGUGAUGGACAAGACCCAAUCCUAAGCAUAGCAUAAAAGAUCGUGUAGUUUCGUUUGCUAGAGCUUUUCCAAUGUCAAGUAUCUUUUCCUUAGACCAUGAGAUCGUGCAACUCCCGGAUACCGUAGGAGUGCUUUGGGUGUGCCAAACGUCACAACGUAACUGGGUGACUAUAAAGGUGCACUACGGGUAUCUCCGAAAGUGUCUGUUGGGUUGGCACGGAUCGAGACUGGGAUUUGUCACUCCGUGUGACGGAGAGGUAUCUCUGGGCCCACUCGGUAAUGCAUCAUCAUAAUGAGCUCAAUAUGACUAAGGCGUUAGUCACGGGAUCAUGCAUUGCGGUACGAGUAAAGAGACUUGCCGGUAACGAGAUUGAACAAGGUAUUGGGAUACCGACGAUCGAAUCUCGGGCAAGUAACAUACCGAUUGACAAAGGGAAUUGCAUACGGAUUGAUUGAAUCCUCGACACCGUGGUUCAUCCGAUGAUAUCAUCGUGGAACAUGUGGGAGCCAACAUGGGUAUCCAGAUCCCGCUGUUGGUUAUUGACCGGAGAGGCGUCUCGGUCAUGUCUGCAUGUCUCCCGAACCCGUAGGGUCUACACACUUAAGGUCCGGUGACGCUAGGGUUGUAGAGAUAUUGUUGGGAAUCGUAGCAUAAUUUAAAAUUUUCCUACGCUCACCAAGAUGCAUCUAUGGAGUCUACUAGCAACGAGGGGAAAGGAGUGGAUCUACAUACCCUUGUAGAUCGCGAGCGGAAGCGUUCCAAUGAACGUGGAUGACGGAGUCGUACUCGCCGUGAUCCAAAUCACCGAUGACCGAGUGCCGAACGGACGGCACCUCCGCGUUCAACACACGUACGGUGCAGCGACGUCUCCUCCUUCUUGAUCCAGCAAGGGGGAAGGAGAGGUUGAUGGAGAUCCAACAGCACGACGGCGUGGUGGUGGAUGUAGCGGGUCUCCGGCAGGGCUUCGCCGAGCUUCUGCGAGAGAGAGAGAGAGGUGUUGCAGGGGAGGAGGGAGGCGCCCAAGGCUUAGAUUUUGCUGCCCUCCCUUCCCCCCACUAUAUAUAGGGCCAAGGGAGAGGGGGGGCGCAGCCUUGCCCCUUCCUUCAAGGAAGGGUGCGGCCAGGGGGGAGUCCUUCCCCCCCAAGGCACCUCGGAGGUGCCUUCCCCCUUUAGGACUCUCCCUUCUUUCUUAUCUCUUGCGCAUGGGCCUCUUGGGGCUGGUGCCCUUGGCCCAUAUAGGCCAAGGCGCACCCCUUACAGCCCAUGUGGCCCCCCGGGGCUGGUGGACCCCUUUGGUGGACCCCCGGACCCCUUUUGGCACUCCCGGUACAAUACCGAUAAAGCGCGAAACUUUUCCGGCGACCAAAAUAAGACUUCCCAUAUAUAAAUCUUUACCUCCGGACCAUUCCGGAACCUCUCGUGACGUCCGGGAUCUCAUCCGGGACUCCGAACAACUUUCGGGUUUCCGCAUACAUAUAUCUCUACAACCCUAGCGUCACCGGACCUUAAGUGUGUAGACCCUACGGGUUCGGGAGACAUGCAGACAUGACCGAGACGCCUCUCCGGUCAAUAACCAACAGCGGGAUCUGGAUACCCAUGUUGGCUCCCACAUGUUCCACGAUGAUAUCAUCGGAUGAACCACGGUGUCGAGGAUUCAAUCAAUCCGUAUGCAAUUCCCUUUGUCAAUCGGUAUGUUACUUGCCCGAGAUUCGAUCGUCGGUAUCCCAAUACCUAGUUCAAUCUCGUUACCGGCAAGUCUCUUUACUCGUACCGCAAUGCAUGAUCCUGUGACUAACGCCUUAGUCACAUUGAGCUCAUUAUGAUGAUGCAUUACCGAGUGGGCCCAGAGAUACCUCUCCGUUUACACGGAGUGACAAAUCCCAGUCUCGAUCCGUGCCAACCCAACAGACACUUUCGGAGAUACCCGUAAUGCACCUUUAUAGUCACCCAGUUACGUUGUGACGUUUGGCACACCCAAAGCACUCAUACGGUAUCCGGGAGUUGCACGAUCUCAUGGUCUAAGGAAAAGAUACUUGACAUUGGAAAAGCUCUAGCAAACGAAACUACACGAUCUUUUAUGCUAUGCUUAAGUUGGGUCUUGUCCAUCACAUCAUUCUCCUAAUGAUGUGAUCCCGUUAUCAAUGACAUCCAAUGUCCAUAGUCAGGAAACCAUGACUAUCUGUUGAUCAACGAGCUAGUCAACUAGAGGCUUACUAGGGACAGGUUGUGGUCUAUGUAUUCACACAUGUAUUAUGAUUUCCGGACAAUACAAUUAUAGCACGAAUAAUAGACUAUUAUCAUGAACACAGAAAUAUAAUAAUAACCAUUUAUUAUUGCCUCUAGGGCAUAUUUCCAACAAUUGCCCUUGCGAAGGAGCCCAGGUUUCACAGGAAGACCAGGCAUAUCAAGCGUCGCUUCAACUCCAUUCGUGAAAGUGUUCAAAAUGGAGACAUAGAUAUUUGUAAAGUACAUACGGACCUGAAUGUAGCAGAUCCGUUGACUAAACCUCUCCCUAGGGCAAAACAUGAUCAACACCAGGACGCAAUGGGUGUUCGAUUCAUCACAAUGUAACUAGAUUAUUGACUCUAGUGCAAGUGGGAGACUGUUGGAAAUAUGCCCUAGAGGCAAUAAUAAAUGGUUAUUAUUAUAUUUCUUUGUUCAUGAUAAUCGUCUAUUGUUCAUGCUAUAAUUGUAUUGUCCGGAAAUCGUAAUACAUGUGUGAACACAUAGACCACAACGUGUCCCUAGUAAGCCUCUAGUUGACUAGCUCGUUGAUCAACAGAUAGUCAUGGUUUCCUGACUAUGGACAUUGGAUGUCAUUGAUAACGGGAUCACAUCAUUAGGAGAAUGAUGUGAUGGACAAGACCCAAUCCUAAGCAUAGCAUAAAAGAUCGUGUAGUUUCGUUUGCUAGAGCUUUUCCAGUGUCAAGUAUCUUUUCCUUAGACCAUGAGAUCGUGCAACUCCCGGAUACCGUAGGAGUGCUUUGGGUGUGCCAAACGUCACAACGUAACUGGGUGACUAUAAAGGUGCACUACGGGUAUCUCCGAAAGUGUCUGUUGGGUUGGCACGGAUCGAGACUGGGAUUUGUCACUCCGUAUGACGGAGAGGUAUCUCUGGGCCCACUCGGUAAUGCAUCAUCAUAAUGAGCUCAAUGUGACUAAGGCGUUAGUCACGGGAUCAUGCAUUGCGGUACGAGUAAAGAGACUUGCCGGUAACGAGAUUGAACAAGGUAUUGGGAUACCGACGAUCGAAUCUCGGGCAAGUAACAUACCGAUUGACAAAGGGAAUUGCAUACGGAUUGAUUGAAUCCUCGACACCGUGGUUCAUCCGAUGAGAUCAUCGUGGAGCAUGUGGGAGCCAACAUGGGUAUCCAGAUCCCGCUGUUGGUUAUUGACCGGAGAGGCGUCUCGGUCAUGUCUGCAUGUCUCCCGAACCCGUAGGGUCUACACACUUAAGGUCCGGUAACGCUAGGGUUGUAGAGAUAUAUGUAUGCGGAAACCUGAAAGUUGUUCGGAGUCCCGGAUGAGAUCCCGGACGUCACGAGAGGUUCCGGAAUGGUCCGGAGGUGAAGAAUUAUAUAUAGGAAGUCCAGUUUCGGCCACCGGGGAAGUUUCGGGGGUUAUCGGUAUUGUACCGGGACCACCGGAAGGGUCCCGGGGGUCCAUCGGGUCGGGCCACCUGUCCCGGAGGGCCCCGUGGCUGAAAGUGGAAGGGAACCAGCCCCUAGUGGGCUGGGGCGCCCCCCUUGGGCCUCCCCCCCUGCGCCUAGGGUUGGGAACCCUAAGGGGAGGGGAGUUCCCCCUUGCCUUGGGGGGCAAGGCAACCCCUUCCCCCCUUGUGGCCGCCGCCCGCCCUUGAGAUCUCAUCUCUUGGGGCCGGCGCCCCCCCCCCAGGGGGCCUAUAUAAAGGGGGGGAGGGAGGGCAGCACAGAACAGCCUUGGGCGCCUCCCUCCUCCCCUGCAACACCUCUCUCUCUCUCGUAGAAGGUCGCGAAGCCCUGCACGAGACCCGCUACAUCCACCACCACGCCAUCGUGCUGCUGGAUCUCCAUCAACCUCUCCUUCCCCCUUGCUGGAUCAAGAAGGAGGAUACGUCGCUGCACCGUACGUGUGUUGAACGCGGAGGUGCCGUCCGUUCGGCACUCGGUCAUCGGUGAUUUGGAUCACGGCGAGUACGACUCCGUCAUCCACGUUCAUUGGAACGCUUCCGCUCGCGAUCUACAAGGGUAUGUAGAUGCACUCCCUUCCCCUCGUUGCUAGUACACUCCAUAGAUGCAUCUUGGUGAACGUAGGAAAAUUUUAAAAUUAUGCUACGAUUCCCAACAGUGGCAUCAUGAGCCAGGUCUAUGCGUAGUUACUAUGCACGAGUAGAACACAAAGCAGUUGUGGGCGUUGAGUUUGCCAAUUCUUCUUGCCGCUACUAGUCGUUUCUUGUUUCGGCGGCAUUGUAGGAUGAAGCGGCCCGGACCGACCUUACACGUACGCUUACGUGAGACUGGUUCCACCGACUGACAUGCACAAGUUGCAUAAGGUGGCUAGCGGGUGUCUGUCUCUCCUACUUUAGUCGGAACGGAUUCGAUGAAAAGGGUCCUUAUGAAGGGUAAAUAGAAAUUGGCAAAUCACGUUGUGGUCAUACGUAGGUAAGAAAACGUUCUUGCUAGAAACCUACAAACCACGUAAAAACUUGCAACAACAAUUAGAGGACGUCUAACUUGUUUUUGCAGCAAGUGCUAUGUGAUGUGAUAUGGCCAGAAGAUGUGAUGAAUGAUAUAUGUGAUGUAUGAGAUUGAUCAUAUUCUUGUAAUAGGAAUCACGACUUGCAUGUCGAUGAGUAUGACAACCGGCAGGAGCCAUAGGAGUUGUCUUUAUUAUUUUGUAUGACCUGCGUGUCAUUAAAUAAAUGCCAUGUAAAUUACUUUACUUUAUUGCUAAAAGCGUUAGCCAUAGAAGUAGAAGUAAUCGUUGGCGUGACGACUUCUUGAAGACACAAUGAUGGAGAUCAUGAUGAUGGAGAUCAUGGUGUCAUGCCGGUGACAAAGAUGAUCAUGGUGCCCUGAAGAUGGAGAUCAAAGGAGCAUGAUGAUAUUGGCCAUAUCAUGUCACUAUUUGAUUGCAUGUGAUGUUUAUCAUGUUUUUGCAUCUUAUUUGCUUAGAACAACGGUAGCAAGUAGGAUGUUCCCUUAUAAUAAUUUCAAGAAAGUGUUCACCCUAACUGUGCACCGUUGCGAAGGUUCGUUGUUUCGAAGCACCACGUGAUGAUCGGGUGUGAUAGAUUCUAACGUUCGAAUACAACGGGUGUUGACGAGCCUAGCAUGUAUAGACAUGGCCUCGGAACACACGCAAUACACUUAGGUUCACUUGACGAGCCUAGCAUGUACAGACAUGGCCUCGGAACACGGAGGACCGAAAGGUCGAGCAUGAGUCGUAUAGAAGAUACGAUCAACAUGGAGAUGUUCACCGAUCUUGACUAGUCCGUCUCACGUGAUGAUCGGACACGGCCUAGUCGAAUUCGGAUCAUGUUUCACUUAGAUGACUAGAGGGAUGUCUAUCUGAGUGGGAGUUCAUUAAAUAAUUUGAUUAUAUGAACUUAAUUAUCAUGAACUUAGUCUAAAUCUUUACACUAUGUAUUGUAGAUCAAAUGGCCCACGUUGUCCUCAAUUUCAACGCGUUCCUAGAGAAAACCAAGCUAAAAGAUGAUGGCAGCAACUAUACGGACUGGGUCCGGAACCUGAGGAUCAUCCUCAUAGCAGCCAAGAAAGAUUAUGUCCUAGAAGCACCGCUAGGUGAAGCACCAAUCCCUGAGAACCAAGACGUUAUGAACGCUUGGCAGCAGCGUGCUGAUGAUUACUCCCUCAUUCAGUGCGGCAUGCUUUACAGCUUAGAACCGGGUCUCCAAAAGCGUUUUGAGAAACAUGGAGCAUAUGAGAUGUUCGAGGAGCUGAAGCUGGUUUUUCAAGCUCAUGCCCGGGUCGAGAGAUAUGAUGUCUCCGACAAGUUCUUCAGCUGUAAAAUGGAGGAGAACAGUUCUGUUAGUGAGCACAUACUCAGAAUGUCUGGGUUGCACAACCGCUUGACUCAGCUGGGAGUUAAUCUCCCGGAUGACGCGGUCAUUGACAGAAUCCUCCAGUCGCUUCCACCAAGCUACAAGAGCUUUGUGAUGAACUACAAUAUGCAGGGGAUGGAAAAGACCAUUCCCGAGGUAUAUUCAAUGCUGAAAUCAGCUGAGGUAGAGAUCAGAAAAGAACAUCAAGUGUUGAUGGUGAAUAAAACCACUAAGUUCAAGAAGGGCAAGGGUAAGAAGAACUUCAAGAAGGACGGCAAGGGAUUUGCCGCGCCCGGUAAGCCAGUUACCGGGAAGAAGUCAAAGAAUGGACCCAAGCCCGAGACUGAGUGCUUUUAUUGCAAGGGAAGUGGUCACUGGAAGCGGAACUGCCCCAAAUAUUUAGCGGACAAGAAGAAGGCCGGCAACACCCAAGGUAUAUGUGAUAUACAAGUAAUCGAUGUGUACCUUACCAGUACUCGUAGUAGCUCCUGGGUAUUUGAUACCGGUGCGGUUGCUCAUAUUUGUAACUCAAAGCAGGAACUACGGAAUAAACGGAGACUGGCAAAGGACGAGGUGACGAUGCGCGUCGGGAAUGGUUCCAAGGUCGAUGUGAUCGCCGUUGGCACACUACCUCUGCAUCUACCCACGGGAUUAGUUUUAAACCUCAAUAAUUGUUAUUUAGUGCCAGCUUUGAGCAUGAACAUUGUAUCUGGAUCUCGUUUAAUUCGAGAUGGCUACUCAUUUAAAUCUGAGAAUAAUGGUUGUUCUAUUUAUUUGAGAGAUAUGUUUUAUGGUCAUGCCCCGCUGGUCAAUGGUUUAUUUUUUGAUGAAUCCCGAACGUGAUGUUACACAUGUUCAUAGUGUGAAUACCAAAAGAUGUAAAGUUGAUAACGAUAGUCCCACAUACUUGUGGCACUGCCGCCUUGGUCACAUUGGUGUCAAGCGCAUGAAGAAGCUCCAUGCAGAUGGACUUUUGGAGUCUCUUGAUUACGAAUCAUUUGACAGGUGCGAACCAUGCCUCAUGGGUAAGAUGACCAAGACUCCGUUCUCUGGAACAAUGGAGCGAGCAACCAACUUAUUGGAAAUCAUACAUACCGAUGUGUGUGGUCCAAUGAGUGUUGAGGCUCGCGGAGGAUAUCGUUAUGUUCUCACUCUCACUGAUGAUUUAAGUAGAUAUGGGUAUGUCUACCUAAUGAAACACAAGUCUGAAACCUUUGAAAAGUUCAAAGAAUUUCAGAGUGAGGUUGAGAAUCAACGUGACAGGAAAAUAAAAUUCUUACGAUCAGAUCGUGGUGGAGAAUAUUUAAGUCACGAAUUUGGUACACACUUAAGGAAAUGUGGAAUAGUUUCACAACUCACGCCGCCUGGAACACCUCAGAGAAAUGGUGUGUCCGAACGUCGUAAUCGCACUCUAUUGGAUAUGGUGCGAUCUAUGAUGUCUCUUACCGAUUUACCGCUCUCAUUUUGGGGUUAUGCUUUAGAGACUGCCGCAUUCACUUUAAAUAGGGCACCGUCUAAAUCCGUUGAGACGACACCGUAUGAAUUAUGGUUUGGGAAGAAACCUAAGCUGUCGUUUCUAAAAGUUUGGGGAUGCGAUGCUUAUGUCAAGAAACUUCAACCUGAAAAGCUCGAACCCAAAUCGGAAAAAUGCGUCUUCAUAGGAUACCCUAAGGAAACUAUUGGGUAUACCUUCUACCUCAGAUCCGAAGGCAAGAUCUUCGUUGCCAAGAACGGGUCCUUUCUAGAGAAGGAGUUUCUCUCGAAAGAAUUGAGUGGGAGGAAAGUGGAACUUGAUGAGGUGAUAGUCACCCCUUCCGAACUGGAAAGUAGCGCAGCGCGGGAAAAUGUUCCUGUGGUGCCUACACCGACUGGGGAGGAAGUUAAUGAUGAUGAUCAUGAAGCUUCAGAUCAAGUUGCUGAACUUCGUAGGUCCACAAGGACACGUUCCGCACCAGAGUGGUACGGCAACCCUGUCCUGGAAAUCAUGUUGUUGGACAACGGUGAACCUUCGAACUAUGAAGAAGCGAUGGCGGGCCCGGAUUCCGACAAAUGGCUAGAAGCCAUGAAAUCCGAGAUAGAAUCCAUGUAUGAAAACAAAGUAUGGACUUUGACUGACUUGCCCGAUGAGCGGCGAGCCAUAGAAAAAAAAUGGAUCUUUAAGAAGAAGACGGACGCAGAUGGUAAUGUGACCAUCUACAAAGCUCGACUUGUCGCUAAGGGUUAUCGACAAGUUCAAGGGGUUGACUACGAUGAGACUUUCUCACCCGUAGCGAAGCUGAAGUCCGUCCGAAUCAUGUUAGCAAUUGCCGCAUACUAUGCUUAUGAGAUAUGGCAGAUGGACGUCAAAACGGCAUUCCUUAAUGGCUUCCUUAAGGAAGAGUUGUAUAUGAUGCAGCCGGAAGGUUUUGUCGAUCCUAAGAAUGCUAACAAAGUAUGCAAGCUCCAACGCUCAAUCUAUGGGCUGGUGCAAGCAUCUCGGAGUUGGAACAUUCGCUUUGAUGAGAUGAUCAAAGCGUUUGGGUUUACACAGACUUAUGGAGAAGCCUGUGUUUACAAGAAAGUGAGUGGGAGCUCUGUAGCAUUUCUCAUAUUAUAUGUGGAUGACAUACUAUUGAUGGGAAAUGAUAUAGAAUUCUUGGAAAGUAUAAAGACCUAUUUGAAUAAGUGUUUUUCAAUGAAGGACCUUGGAGAAGCUGCUUAUAUAUUAGGCAUCAAAAUCUAUAGAGAUAGAUCAAGACGCCUCAUUGGUCUUUCACAGAGUACAUACCUUGACAAGAUAUUGAAGAAGUUCAGUAUGGAUCAGUCCAAGAAGGGGUUCUUGCCUGUAUUGCAAGGUGUGCAAUUGAGCACGGCUCAAUGCCCGACCACGGCAGAAGAUAUAGAACAGAUGAGUGUCAUCCCCUAUGCCUCGGCCAUAGGGUCUAUUAUGUAUGCCAUGCUGUGUACCAGACCUGAUAUAAACCUUGCCGUAAGUUUGGUAGGAAGGUACCAAAGUAAUCCCGGCAAGGAACACUGGACAGCGGUCAAGAAUAUCUUGAAGUACCUGAAGAGGACUAAGGAUAUGUUUCUCGUUUAUGGAGGUGACGAAGAGCUCGUCGUAAAGGGUUACGUCGACGCUAGCUUCGACACAGAUCUGGAUGACUCGAAGUCACAGACCGGAUACGUGUAUAUUUUGAAUAGAGGAGCAGUAAGCUGGUGCAGUUGCAAGCAAAGCGUCGUGGCGGGAUCUACAUGUGAAGCGGAGUACAUGGCAGCCUCAGAGGCAGCACAGGAAGCAGUCUGGAUGAAGGAGUUCAUUAUCGACCUAGGGGUGAUUCCCAAUACGUCGGGCCCAAUGACUCUCUUCUGUGACAACACUGGAGCUAUUGCCCUUGCGAAGGAGCCCAGGUUUCACAGGAAGACCAGGCAUAUCAAGCGUCGCUUCAACUCCAUUCGUGAAAGUGUUCAAAAUGGAGACAUAGAUAUUUGUAAAGUACAUACGGACCUGAAUGUAGCAGAUCCGUUGACUAAACCUCUCCCUAGAGCAAAACAUGAUCAACACCAGGACGCAAUGGGUGUUCGAUUCAUCACAAUGUAACUAGAUUAUUGACUCUAGUGCAAGUGGGAGACUGUUGGAAAUAUGCCCUAGAGGCAAUAAUAAAUGGUUAUUAUUAUAUUUCUUUGUUCAUGGUAAUUGUCUAUUAUUCAUGCUAUAAUUGUAUUGUCCGGAAAUCGUAAUACAUGUGUGAAUACAUAGACCACAACCUGUCCCUAGUAAGCCUCUAGUUGACUAGCUUGUUGAUCAACAGAUAGUCAUGGUUUCCUGACUAUGGACAUUGGAUGUCAUUGAUAACGGGAUCACAUCAUUAGGAGAAUGAUGUGAUGGACAAGACCCAAUCCUAAGCAUAGCAUAAAAGAUCGUGUAGUUUCGUUUGCUAGAGCUUUUCCAAUGUCAAGUAUCUUUUCCUUAGACCAUGAGAUCGUGCAACUCCCGGAUACCGUAGGAGUGCUUUGGGUGUGCCAAACGUCACAACGUAACUGGGUGACUAUAAAGGUGCACUACGGGUAUCUCCGAAAGUGUCUGUUGGGUUGGCACGGAUCGAGACUGGGAUUUGUCACUCCGUAUGACGGAGAGGUAUCUCUGGGCCCACUCGGUAAUGCAUCAUCAUAAUGAGCUCAAUGUGACUAAGGCGUUAGUCACGGGAUCAUGCAUUGCGGUACGAGUAAAGAGACUUGCCGGUAACGAGAUUGAACAAGGUAUUGGGAUACCGACGAUCGAAUCUCGGGCAAGUAACAUACCGAUUGACAAAGGGAAUUGCAUACGGAUUGAUUGAAUCCUCGACACCGUGGUUCAUCCGAUGAGAUCAUCGUGGAGCAUGUGGGAGCCAACAUGGGUAUCCAGAUCCCGCUGUUGGUUAUUGACCGGAGAGGCGUCUCGGUCAUGUCUGCAUGUCUCCCGAACCCGUAGGGUCUACACACUUAAGGUCCGGUAACGCUAGGGUUGUAGAGAUAUAUGUAUGCGGAAACCCGAAAGUUGUUCGGAGUCCCGGAUGAGAUCCCGAACGUCACGAGAGGUUCCGGAAUGGUCCGGAGGUGAAGAAUUAUAUAUAGGAAGUCCAGUUUCGGCCACCGGGAAAGUUUCGGGGGUUAUCGGUAUUGUACCGGGACCACCGGAAGGGUCCCGGGGGUCCACCGGGUGGGGCCACCUGUCCCGGAGGGCCCCGUGGGCUGAAAGUGGAAGGGAACCAGCCCCUAGUGGGCUGGGGCACCCCCCUUGGGCCUCCCCCCUGCGCCUAGGGUUGGGAACCCUAAGGGGGGGAGUUUUCCCUUGCCUUGGGGGGCAAGGCAACCCCUUCCCCCCUUGUGGCCGCCGCCCCCCCUUGAGAUCUCAUCUCUUGGGGCCGGNNNNNNNNNNNNNNNNNNNNNNNNNNNNNNNNNNNNNNNNNNNNNNNNNNNNNNNNNNNNNNNNNNNNNNNNNNNNNNNNNNNNNNNNNNNNNNNNNNNNNNNNNNGGAGGGAGGGCAGCACAGAACAGCCUUGGGCGCCUCCCUCCUCCCCUGCAACACCUCUCUCUCUCUCGUAGAAGCUCGGCGAAGCCCUGCACGAGACCCGCUACAUCCACCACCACGCCGUCGUGCUGCUGGAUCUCCAUCAACCUCUCCUUCCCCCUUGCUGGAUCAAGAAGGAGGAGACGUCGCUGCACCGUACGUGUGUUGAACGCGGAGGUGCCGUCCGUUCGGCACUCGGUCAUCGGUGAUUUGGAUCACGGCGAGUACGACUCCGUCAUCCACGUUCAUUGGAACGCUUCCGCUCGCGAUCUACAAGGGUAUGUAGAUGCACUCCCUUCCCCUCGUUGCUAGUACACUCCAUAGAUGCAUCUUGGUGAACGUAGGAAAAUUUUAAAAUUAUGCUAGGAUUCCCAACAAAUUCUUCCUACCCUCAGGACUUGUCCAGGAAAAAGCCUCCACAAAAAUUUGUAAAUUAAAAACAUUGCUGCCACUGCACCUACCAAAUCAUAUGGGUAAUCAAACAUCAACGAUUGGAGAAGAACUAAACGCACGGGCCACAAAUCAUUGGAACUUCAACAAAUUUUCUGCAAACUUACUGAGAUUUUGGGGCCGAGGAUGACAUUGCAGCGGGGGAGCUUCAAAUCUUCAGCAGAGGUGCUAGGGGAUGCGAUUCAAGUGGCCUCCAGCAUGGUUGCCGCCGCCAUGCUCGCUUGCUAGUGGGGGCGGCGCCGGCUGGAGCUCCUGCUCGCCGAUGAGAAGUAGCAGCAGGGGCGUCGCCGGGGAUGGAGCAGUAGGGGUAGCAGCACGUGGAUGUGUAGCAGCAGGGGCGCGGUCGAGGAUAUGGAGCAGCAGCAGCAGUGCGGUGGCUAGGGUUCUUGACGAAAGAGGAGCGGAAUGGGGAGAGGAACAAGAGGAAGAUAGGCACGGGCUGGAGUGGUGCGUGCUAACCAGAUGGAUGCAGGGGCAUUUCUAUCCAAGAGAAAGUACAGGAUGUAUACGUGAGUGUUUUUGUACAAAAAACGAGCUCAAGUGGCCGGAGUGGCAUCGACAGAAGUAUGCGAGAAGUGGAGUGGCAUUUUUCGAAGUUUGCAAAUUGGAGUGGCAUUUUUCGGAAUGGCCAAAAUUGGAGUGGCGUUUUUUGGAAAGGCCAAAAUUGGAGUGGCAUUUUUCCAAUUAACCCAAAAAUUUAUGCGGGAUUGAAUUUUGUUUGUAGAAAUCUUUUAGAUUCCACCGCGAGUGGUACUUUUAUGGAAAUUACUUUGGGUGAAGCUACCAAAUUGCUAGAUAAUACCAUGGCAAAUUAUUCACAAUGGCAUACCGAAAGAGCACCUACUAGUAAAAAAGUUUAUGCUCUUAUGAAAUUGGUUUCUAGUAAAAGUGCUCCUAUUGAUCUUAAUGAUGUGCCUUUGUCUACUUUGCUUGAGCAAAAUAGUGAUCUCGUAGAUGUGAAUUUUGUCUAGCGAAAUAAUUUUAAUAACAAUGCUUAUAGAGGUAACUUUAAUCCUAGGCCUUUCCUGGAAAUCCCUCUAAUAAUUAUGGCAAUUCCUAUGGUAAUUCUUCCUACAAUAAUAAUAGGAACCCCUCUAAUCUUGAUAAUAAUAUUAAAGAAUUUAUCAAUGUGCAAAAAGUUUUCAAAACUACAAUAGAAGAAAAUUUGAAUAAGAUUGAUGAUAUGUCUAGAAGCAUUGAUAGAAUUUCUCAUGAUGUAGAAAAUCUCAAGUUGACAACUUUUGCACCCAAGGUUGAUGAAUCAAUUAAAGCUUUAUAUGUUUCUAUGGAUGAAAGUAAGAAAAGAACCGCUAUGGUUAGAGCUAAAAUAGAAUUUUGAGAAAGAGCGUUUUCUAGUGAUUGCUUUCAUAAAAAUGAUGACGAUCUUAAAGUAAUUGGUGUUUCUUCUAAUUAUUCCUUGUUUAGUAAAAUUAAAAUUGAUGAUAAAGGGACCGAAGAAGAGUCAACUUUAGCUAGAAGGCGUCCCGAUAAUUUGGAGGGUGAAAAUCUUGAUGAAAAAAUUGAUAAAAGUGGGUUUGGAGAGGUCAAAACUUUAACUAGUGAUGUACCCACUCUUUUGUAUUCCAAAGACUUUAAUUAUGAUAGUUGCUCUUUGGUUGAAUAUAUUUCUUUGUUGCAAUCCAUGAUAAAUUCACCCCAUGCUUAUGAGCAAAACAAAGCUUUUACUAAACAUAUUGUUGAUGCCAUGAUGAAAGCUGAUGAAGAAAAGUUGGAAUUAAAGAUUUCAAUUCCUAGAAAAUUACAUGUUGAAUGGGAACCCACCAUUAAAGUAAAGGUAAAAAAUUAUGAGUGCUUUGCUUUAUGUGAUUUGGGUGCUAGUGUUUCCACAAUUCUGAAAUCUCUAUGUGAUGUGCUUGGUCUUACUAAUAUUGAAGAGUGUUCUUUAAAUUUGCACUUGGCGGAUUCUACUAUUAAAAAGCCUUUGGGAAGAAUUAAUGAUGUUCUUAUUCUAGUAAAUAUGAAUUAUGCGCCCAUAGAUUUUAUUGUUCUUGAUAUUGAUUGCAAUCCUCUUGUCCAAUUAUACUUGGUAGACCGUUUUUACGCGCUAUAGGCACUAUUCAAGAUAUCUCCCGAUAUUCUGAUAAAUCGGCCGAUUUAUCGCUUAUCGUUGUCUGACCGAUAAGAUAAAUCGGCUGAUAAAUCGGCGGAUAUGCCGAUAAAAUGGCCAAUUUACCCCUUAUCAUGGGUCGACCGAUAAGUUCCUGAUAAGCGAUAUCCCCAACAUUGGCUAUAGGUGCCGUGAUUGAUAUGAAAGAAGGCAAUAUUAAAUUCCAACUUCCCACUAAGAAAGGGUAUGGAACACUUCCCUAGAACAAGAAUUAGGCCACCAUAUGAAUCAAUCAUGAGGGCAACCUAUGGAUCAAAAACUAAAGAUGACAAUACUUGAAUCUAUGAAUUAUGCCUAGCUAGGGGCAUAAAAUGAUAGCGCUUACUGGUAGGCAACCCAAUAAAUAAAAAUUAUUUUUUUCUUUUUUCUUUAUGUUCUUGAGUGUUUGCACAAUUAUUCCACUGUUAUGAUUGUGUUUUUUAUGUUUUAGUUAGUGUUUGUGCCAAGCCUUUGGGAUCAUAUUGGGUGAUAGUUGAUUUGAUCUUGUUGAAAAACAGAAACUUUUGCUUCUAGUAGCAGAAUUUUGUAAAAACACAGAAGCGACGAAAAAUUCUGAAUUUUUUAUGAAAGAUUGAUAUACAAAUUUCCAACUUUGUCCUAAUUUUUCAAAAAUAUUGGAGUUACAAAAGUAUGGUUAGAGUACAGAUUACUACAGACUAUUCUAUUUUUGACAUAUUCUGUUUUCGUUGCAUUGUGUGCUUAUUUUGAUGAAUCUAUGGAUUGUAUCGGGGGGUAUAAGCCAUGGUAAAGUUGGAAUAAAGUAGGUAUAAUGCAAUAAUAAAAUAUGAAUGGGUUUGCAACAGUACUUAGAGUGGUGAUUUGCUUUAUAAUACUAACGGCUCUCAUGAAGGUUUUGUUAAGUUUUGUGUGAUUGAAGUGUUCAAGUUUUAGGUGAGAUCACGAUGGAUGAAGGAAUAAGGAUUAAGAAGAGCCUAAGCUUGGGGAUGCCCAUGGCACCCCAAGUUAAUAUUCAAGGAGAACCAAGCAGGGGCAUCCCCUCUUUCUUCUAACGACCAUCGGUAUUUUACUUGGAGCUAUAUUUUUAUUCGUCACAUAUCAUGUGUUUUGCUUGGAGCGUCCUGUAUUAUACGAGUCUUUGCUUGUUUUGCUUUCGGUUUGUCACAAGUAUCCUUGCUGGACACACCUAUUUGAUAGAGCCAAAAUUAUGCUAUGAUUUAUUAGAAUUUAUCUUUAUGCUUCACUUAAAUUUUUUGAGCUAUGGAAUUGCUCUAGUGCUUCCCUUAUAUCUUUUUGAGCACAGUGUGUUUAAUAUGUUUGAAGAAAUACUCUCAUGCUUCACUUAGAUUUAUUUGAGAGUUAGUAAUUCUAAAUAAAUUCUCUCAUGCUUCACUUAUAUUAUUUUGAGAUAUGAAAAUCUUUAUGCUCAUGUUCUUCACUUAAAUUUAUUUUGAGCUUGUCAAAAGCAAUUGCAAUAUAUGAAACUAGUCCCAAAGUGAUAAAUAUUCAAGAGGGAUAUAAUAAAAACUUUCAUGAAGAUCAUUGGACAAAUUAAACUUGAUUCCUUGUAAUAGUUUUGAGAUAUGAUGAUAGUGAUAUGUGAGUCAUGUUGGUGAGUAAUUAUGCUUUAGUAAGAAUAUUGGUGUUAAGGUUUGUGAUUCCCUAUGCAAGCACGAAAGUCAAUAGUUAUGCAAUGAAAUUACAUCCUACUUGCGGUGCAUUAUUCGGUGCCCAAUGUCAGAUCAUGUUUUCUUCAUGUUUUUGGUUUUGCAGGAAACCAAUAUCUAGGGAGGUCAAAUUACAAUGCCAAUUAAACACGGUUUUUUUCGGGCGACGAAGGACCCAUGAAGCUUCGAGAAGGAACGAGAGGAGCCAUAGGGGGCCACACGGCCAUGUGGCGCGCCCCAGGCCUAGGGUGCACCACUAGGGCAUGUGGGGCCCACCUGCACUGCCUUACAUUGAUUUCACCUCCAUAUAAUCGUAUAAGUACUGAAACAUUCCGCCAUAUUUUUAGAGACAUUUUACUACCACCAUAAGUUCCUAUUUCACACAGAUCCAAUCUGGGGGCCUGUCCAGAGCUCUGCCGGAGGAGGAAUCCAUUGCUGGAGACUUCUUCAUCAACCUUGCUACCCCCAUGACUAUGUGUGAGUAGUUCUUACUAGGACCUUGGGGUCCAUAGUAGUAGCUAGAUGACUCUCUCUUCUCUCUCUCUCUCUCUCUCUCUCUCUCUCUUUCUCUCUCUCGUUUGGAUUUUCAAUACCAUGUUCUAGUGAGCUGCCUUACAUGAUUAGGAUCAAUUUGAUGUAAUUCUUCGGUGUGUUUGUUGGAUAUGAUGAACUGUCACUUUAUGAUCAGAUUGUUCAUUGAAAUCAAUUGAAAUUUUGAGGUUUCCUUGCAUGCUCCUCGAUCUAUCUAUCUUCUCUGGCCAAGUUAGAUGGGUUUUUCUUCAGAGGGGUGGUGCAUUGUAGUGGGUUAAAUCUUGUGGUUCUCUAACCCAGUGACAAUAAGGGCCAAGACAUGUAUUGUGUUGUUGUCACUAAGGAUAGAAUGGUGGUGUCUCAUCAUAUUGUUGAUGUUCUACUGUCUACAUACUAUCUACAAAUUGAAGUGAAAUGGAAUGAACCACCAGAAGUAGUCGUAAUACCUAUCGAUGGUCGAGGACGUCGACUUGCGGCAACCAGUGGCAGGAACGUUGAGUAGGAGCCACAAGAAAGUAGAUCUAGAUCGCAGCAGAAAGGAAGAAGACCAGGGAAAGAGACUAAGCAAAAAGAAGAUACGAUAUGUGUCCAGUCUGCAACCCAAAAUAAAUGUUGGGUAACUCGGAGUACCUAGUUGGAUACGCCCACGAAUAAAAUAUAAUGCCCAGGCUAGCACGUUUCAGAAAGCAGAACACAAAAUAUUACAGUAUAAAUUUCUUCCAAAAGAACUUGAUUGAACAAACAGCGUUAACCAUAGGAGCCCAAAUGAAAUCAAAGCUUAGGGAAGUCAUUAUAGUUGGAAGAACGAAAUGUGUUAAAGAAUUACUUAUUUACCAAACUCACCAGACAGUUUCAUAAGUUCAGAUUUGGUCAUACAAGUACUGCUUUCUUGAAUGUAAAGAUAGAUUUCUCAUAGAUGAUAGCAUGCAUCGCAAGGCGGUAAAAAGUAGCGAAAAACACAAUGUAUAGUAUUCAUGGAAAAGGAUGGAAUGAACUUGGGAAAGGACAUAAGAGGAUGAACUGAUGAGUAUAAAUAAAAUAAGACUCCAUUCAUUCCCUUAUACAAGGCCACUUCAUAUUUUUAUAUCUAACUUUGACCGUUACUUUUACCAAUAGAAAUGGUAGUAUGCCACAAAAAGUAUGUUAUUGGACGCACAUUUGAAAGAACUUUGCAAUGAUAUAUUUUUUAUAACAUAUAAUCUAUAUUUUGUUGACCCAGAUUAUAAGUUAAAGUUUGACACGAAAAACGAAGUGACCUUUUAUAAGGGAAUGUAGGGAGUAAAUGAAAUAGAAGAAGAAGCAAUAGCGAAUGAAGACAAUUAGAAGGCUGAAAGGAAAACACGGCUAUAUGAAUGGACAAGCAGUAGAAGAACAUGUGAACACCGAAGAAGAUGAAUAGUACUCUCUCCAUCCAAAAAAAUUUGUCCCAAGCUUGUCCUUCAAAUGGAUGUAUCUUGCACUAACCUGGUGUUAGAUACAUUCAUCUGAGAGACAAGCUUUUUCAGACGAAAGGGGUAUGAAAUAACUGUUAAAACGGAACGGGGCGACGGAGCAUAAGAGACACGGCCAUAAAAGUACAUGUGAAGGAUAUAUUUGUACAGAAAAAUCAUGUAUAUUGUCUCGUAUUCACACAUUUAAGAAUUUCCUUCCAUUUUUCAAUGAAUUUCCGUGAAAGACACGUGCACAGAUCACAACGCACAUCAAUGGCGGCAGCCGUUUCCGCAGGUGCGGGCCCCUAUGAAUUUUCAUGGUAUUGUAUUGACUCCAAACAAAAGAUGGUUAGCCACCCGGUAACGUGUGAGAAUUGAAGUUGUGCUCAUUGACCCAAUUCAUCUAGCAUGAUUGUGUAACAGCAGUGCUAUACACACAACACAAUGCACACGAUUCAUGCACGAUACUUAAAUCCAGCCGGACAUGCACAUGAUUGAGAAGGGCACCAGCGACUGGAUUAGCACGUCUUGCAUAGAUUGGGCAGCACGGUCGUCUGGGUAGCAGUUUCGAUUGUGUAAUGAGUUUCUUAUUGAAUCAUGAGGACCCACUAUAUUGCCUUAUCCUGAUCUGCAUUUUGUGCCAACACUCAGACCACAACCGUUACACUUAUUGAAUUUUAUUUUAUUUGAAAAUAUGGUCCAAAAAAUCUGAAAUUUGGUAUGGUGUCAUAAUAUGGUUGUCGUAUUCUUUUAGCCAACUUGAGGCAACUUGUAUGCAUUAACUGACCUCGUAGGCAUUUUCAAUAUCGCCCAUAAUUAGCCCCCUAUGUGUGUAUCUCACGGUUCCAAUCGCGGCCAUGUCAUGAAGGACUAAUUUGGAAUGCAGCUGAUCAUGCUCAAAAGUCUACCAUGGUUCAUCCGUUCAUUAAUUUACAAACAGUUCACUCAAAAUAAACAUGAACACCAUGCAUGCAUACAAACACCGCACCACCACGGUUGUUGUGAUGAUCUUGGUCUCCUAAGGAGGCAAAGGAGCUCGACAAGCCGAAGACCUCCACCAGGUGCGCGCCGACAACCAUUCGGGCUGUCUUGGCCGCAGGGGCCGCCGCUAUCGCCAAGGCUGUGUAAGUCAUCAUCGCGCUCUUGCCAAGGCUGCCGCCAGGUGAGAACAAAUGAUUAUGAGGUAGCAUCUUCCUGAAAUUUUUACCAUAGAGAAGUGUUAGAGUAGAUAGCUUACAUUAUUUUAAGAUCUAUCAACACGUUAUAAUGUGUGAUGUCCUAUAGUUAUAAUAUUUCUUAAAGAAACAAUACAAAGUAAAACUUACAGUUUUCUAGCUAUAUGAUGCUUGUAUUGACUUAUAAUGUCGUAUCUAGAGGAUACAAGUAUCAUAAUUACAUAUCCGGCAUCUGCAUAACUAUAAUAUAUAUAACCAACAUAAACAUACACGCAGAAAAGAAAAUGUGAUCUCGAUAAGCCGCAACCACCUUCGGUUGUGCGGCUCACGAACGAUAUCAAAGACGACGCUAGACCUUGGGCUCGCGCUGGGGCCAAGGCGCCUGGCUAGCUGAUCACCGAGACGUAGGUUUGGUAGUUGGGCCGCGCUUGCCCUUCUCAUGCGCUCUUCUAUGCCUUGCACGCCGCCUGGGUGUUCGUCCUUGCGAGGCUGUUUUUAUAAUGACUGCUAUAAAUCCUCUUCUAUCAACACAAUAAUACAAAAGUCUAUUGUGUAUUCGCGAGAAAAAAAAAGGCACAACCACCACCGAUAAGCCACACUAGGCAGUAGCGACGACGCAAGCAUAUUUUGCCACUUGCCCUAGCCGCCCAAGUGGAUGUACGCUUUUGAACAUCGCCCGCCCAAUGAGGUUAUGAUCUAGUUCUAGAUUAAUGCAAACCCAACUGCCCAAACAAAUCGACCAAUGUAUAUCGGGAAAUCGCAUUGGAUCACUCGUUGUCAGAAGUAGUAUGCAUAUGUACUGGAAAUAAAAGGAAAUUGUACCACUUGUAGCUAGCAAGUAAUGAACUCAUGAUACAUGCAUCUAUUUUAUUUUUUUCCGGCAUCUUCUUGCGAAUCCUUGAAAUAGAUACCCAUGCAGUUCAAAAAAAAAAAGAUAGCCAUGCACUCUUUCCACGUCCCCAGGCUACAAAUACCCGUCAAAUUCCAGCACUCUUCAUCCAUCUCGAGCCAGCUACUAGCUAGCCAUGGCAUCUUCCAAGAGUAGUCUUGCAAUGUUUGCACUGGCCAUAGUCAUGGCCGUGGUGGCUGACGUCUCGGCGCAGAACACCCCGCAGGACUUCGUCAACCUGCACAACCGCGCCCGCGCCGUGGACGGCGUCGGCCCCGUGGCAUGGGACAACAACGUGGCCAGGUUUGCGCAGGACUGGGCGGCGCAGCGCGCCGGCGAUUGCCGGCUGCAGCACUCCGGCGGGCCGUUCGGCGAGAACAUCUUCUGGGGUUCCGGGCAGUCGUGGACGGCCGCCGACGCGGUGAAGCUGUGGGUGGACGAGAAGCAGAACUACCAUCUUGACAGCAACACCUGCGACGCCGGCAAGGUGUGCGGGCACUACACGCAGGUGGUGUGGCGCAAGUCGACCCGCAUCGGCUGCGCGCGCGUGGUCUGCACGGGGAACCGGGGCGUCUUCAUCACCUGCAACUACAAUCCCCCGGGCAACUUCAACGGCGAGCGCCCGUUCGCGUUCCUCACCCUUGACGCCGAAGCCUAGUACGUGCGAGUGAGUGUGAUCAUACAUGCAUACGUACGUGCGUGUGUUUAUGUUUGUGUGGUUUGAAUAUUUAUACGUCUACAAAUGUUACGUACGUACGUAAAUAAGCACACAUUCCGGCCUGCAUGUAUCCAUGCGGCUCUGUGGAGCGUGUAAAUGUAUGCAAACAUCUUUACUUUUGUUUUGUUGUUCAAAACUUGGACCUAGCCAAACAAAUUGUGAACCCUUGAAAAAAAUGAUACCCCCUUCGUCCUAUAAUGUAAGACCGCUAGUGUCAAAAAAAGGUCUUACGUUAUGGGACGGUGGGAGUAUGUUACACACAAAAUUUGAAUUUGCGUUCGAAGAUAAGAACCCGCAAUUCUUGAAAUAAGAUUUCGUCCCGUUUUAUUUAUAGAUAAAGCAAACACCACGACCAUACAGUAAAUUCAAGUGUGAAAAAUAGAAUAGCCUAUUGAGGCAACAUCACAAACUCGACGAAGGAAAAUAUAAAAUAAAUGGGAAAAAAGACCACCAAGUGGUCGUAGUCUCGGGGGGGCUGCACCGGGGCAAGUUGGCGAGCGGCACCAUGCAUCGCAUCCAUCAUAAGGCCUAGCCUAUCGCGGUCGCACUGUCUAUAAAGCGGGUGCCAGCGCUGCAAAAAUGCAAAGAAUUUGAAGAUUAAGUCAGAUGUCCUCCUAAAAAAGACACGCUCAAUCACCAUCUUAUUGUGUGCACUCCACAAAAUCCAUGCUAACGGUGCAAACACCAGCCAGAAGAGGUGCCUCAUACUGCCACCUGGUAGGCACAGGUCUGAAGGAACCCGGCAAGGUCCAGGGCCUCAUGGACAAAACUCCAAAGAACUCUAGACACUGUCCAAAAGAAGAUGAUGUGGCCCUCGUUUCCAGAACACCAAAAAGAGGACACAACCCUUCCCAAGGUCAUGCCUCUUGAUCACCUCUUCCCAGCAAUUGCCAAACACAAAUUUUGAUCUUUUCAAUGGUAAGUGCGCUUUAGAGAGCGGACUGAUUUAAGCAAUGGUCGGACGCCAGCAUAGGGCAAGAUAUGUUGAGUCGACAGAGAAGAAACCCGAAGAUGCAAGAUGCCAUGAUACGGUGUCCGGAUAGUCCGCGAGAACCGGGACCGCCGCCCGCAAACUAGCCCACUCUACGGUCUCCACCUGGCCAAAUGGCCGUCAGAACAAGACGUUUCAAUGGCCAUUGUGGGCCAGUGAAAAAAAUAACGCGCUAUAGCGCCACUAAUAGCACACUGUAGCGUUGUGAGCAAUAUCUUGCUAAAUAAAUCAGUGUGCAAUGUCUCACUAAUAGCACGCUAUAGCGCGAUAUAGUAUGCUGAUAGUGUAUUUUAAGAGCCACGCUAUUUUGUCAUAGUACACUAUUUUUUUAAUUGUUGUGUGCGGGCAUGGAACCAAAACCAUAGGGUCCGCCUGCAAACUAGCCCGCUCUAUGGUCUUCACCUGGUCAAGCUACUGCUAGUGCAUUAUGACUUCCAGCUUUCCCCAUUAUUAUUAUUUUGUACUUAAUCCUCAAUUUAUCUGGCCGGAUAGAUAGAACGUGAUUCAAUUGGUAGGCGUUAAGGCAGUAUUUGAUUCUGAGGAUAAGAAAAGUACAGGGAGAAAUUGUUUCAGAGAUAAUAAACCACGUGGACCCUCCUAAUUAUUGUUAAGCGAUAAGGUUGGGUACUUGGGUUCGAUUACGAGAAUAUGAAAAGUAUACAAAGACAACGAUGUGAGGACUUGAACAUGACUAGCACAGACAUGGCGCUCUCUUGUGCACCAGUACGACAAGACCUAGCCAGUGAAACAGCAGAAAGACACAAGUUUGUAUACGUUAAUCACUUCAAUUCAAAUUAACCAGGAAAAAUAAUGUUUGCUUGAUAGUUUGGCAUGGAUUCUUACUUGUUAGUGUGGCUUUGCUAGAGUACAAACUAUAUUGCAAACAUUAAAAUCCAUAUAUGGAGAUUGGAGUUCAUCCAGGCUGCGUAGUGUUCCCUCUCACUUCUGUUUUUCGUCGAGUUAAUUGCAGAAAACCACCGCAUUUACGGCCAGAUUUGACAAAAAUACCUAGUCCCUAAUUUUUAGGAAAAGCCGCCACAUUUGCAGUAAACUUUUUGCAAGAAGAACUGAUUGCUUGAUUUGCAGCGUUUACAACAAGCAGGGGCCAGAUUGUAAGGAGCUGAUUUGGCAAAAAUUGACAUGCACACUCCUGGAGCGAAACGAAAAAUGCAAUCAACCCCCCGCCAUGCACAUGUUUUUUAGGCGUGCAGGCCCGGGCCCCGCGCGUCGCCAUCGCCCGCUCCCGGUUGCCUGGCCCACCCUAGCCUGGUCGUCUCCCCAUGCUGGCACGGGCCACGUGACCUGGACGGCGAGCAAGAGGGCGACGGCCUACCAGUCCCCAAGCGACGCCGGCCCAAGUGGCGCAGAAGUUGGCCUUGGCCGACCAGUCCCGCGCACACGCCCAGGCCACACCCGCAGCUCGUAUAUCGCCGCGAGGUCAUACUGCGGGAGCGGCAACUGCGCCCCAUGUGGAUCUCAUGCCGUCGAGGACCAGCAGGGCCAGUGGCGUGCUGUCUGUGCGCCCUGGUGGAUCUUGUGCCGUCGAGGACCAGCGGGUGGCUUUUACAAAAAAAAUAAAGACUAGGUAUUUUUCUGCAAACCUAACCGCAAUAUGAUGGUUUUCUGCAAUCAACUCGUUUUUCGUCACAGGGAGGAGUGGCGCCACGACAUGGGUAGGGCUAUAGUGCACAACCUAGUCUGUAUUUUGCAGGGAAUAUAUUCAUUUCCUGUUCAUGUUGUUUUCCUUGGUGUAUUUUGUAUAUUAAAUGAUCUUUGAACUUUCCACACCUCACUUAAAAGCUUAUCCAUGCAACAUGUUGUUUACUGAAAGUUCGUUUUUUGUCUCGGGGGAGCUGCAUGAGGAAGGAAGAAACUCGAAUACGCUGUCAUGCACAUGAAUGAUUUGAUCCUCCAGCAGGCAGCAGCCUUCGUUGUCUUGACUCCAAGCAGAAGCUGAUUAGCCGCCGAGACGUCAAGUCUGAAUUUGAAUAACUUGUGUAUUGACCCGGCUCCUCAAUCAUAGCUGUGAAAUGACUGUUAUUGAAGCAUGAUGAUCCGAUCGGUUCAUUAGCUAGUCAGAUGUCCUUAUCCUACUUGUACGAUACUCCCUCGGUUCCAGAUUACUUGUCACAUAAAUAGAUAUAAAUAGAUGUAUGUAAAACUAAAAAUACAUCUAUAUGCAUCCAGUUCUGCGACAAGUAAUUGUAGGCGGAGGGAGUAUAUGUGAAAGUUUUGGUUGUACCACCAUGCCAGUGUAUCCUUUAUCCUCACCGUCCAUUCUUUCGUCAAAUUUAUGAAAGAAAACUUCUCUUUUUUUGUUAUAAAAUCUUCCAAAUAAAAUAACAUGUAGGGGCUGUUUGGUUACUGCCCUCAUUCGCCCUGCCAAAUCAUGGGCCGACCAAAAAAUUGGCGAGCAGAUCGCCCGCCCUGGUUUCGCCAACAAUUUGGCGUGGAAUCAGAUGGAGGGAGUGCGGGCGAGCUGGGCGUGCCAAUAAAUCGGGAGCGAUCCAAACAGAUGCCCACGCCCCAGUCAACGCUAAUAUUUUGGCUUGGCAGUUGAGGGCAGCGAUCCAAACGCCCCCCGUAAACUCGAAACUUUGCGGAUCAACAUCACACAAGUAUUACCAUGUACGGGAAAGUUUUCGGAUUUUUGGCGCAAGCUAAAUUUUUAAAAAUGAUACAAUUCACUCUAAAUUUUGAAAUUUGACAAAUUUAUGUUUGACAAAAAAUGGAAACAUUUUAUACAAUGAGAGACACUUGUAUAUAGUUGUUCUGCAAAGUUUCAAGGUCAAAUUCUCUUGUUUGGAAAAAACAAAAGAGAAACUUCUAUAUAAGGCACGUACCUUGAUGCAAACUGAAUGUUCUAGACAGAGGGUACACUACCUGAACUAAUGUCUUUUAGAUUUCUAUAUUUUACACAUCUUAGAAUUGUCAGCCUAUUUUCUUUCUCGAAUUGACAUGUUGUGUAUUAGGGCUGAUUAUUCCUUGAAAUUUUUGUUUAUACGUAGGAAUACGCCCUCAAGAAACUUCCUUUUGCCCAAAGAAAAUUUACACAUGGGUGAUUUUUUCCAUGUUUUCUUUAGAGAGGAUUCAUGUUUGGUUUGGGGCAGCGAGGCGGGGGAGUGUAGGAAUAAUAUCUCCCAACCCUUUUCCCGUUCUGUUGGCAUGCUUAUCAUCAUCAGUGCAAGGCGUGCGGAGCCGUGUCUCUAGCGGAUCUUCUGGAAUCCUAUCGAUUUAGGUUUCUCGUGGUUCCGUCUAGAUUUAGCCAGUAUUCUAGUCUACGGAGUUCCUACAUGCCCUUAUCUAGUGAAAGUAUGCUAAAGUGAACAUAUGAACCCUAGGUUUGGUUUUCGACCAUUAAAACAUCAUUUUGCACACUUUUUCAUACUUUUACUUUGUUAUUUUUAUUUAUUUUGAAAGCACAGAGACACUAAUAUCAUCCAAAUUAUUAAUCUUUUCAUCAAACUAAUGCACCUACUAUAACGAAACAUACUACACAAUAAACUUUUAUCGCUACAAUCACGACCAAGAACAUUAUGACGAUGACAUGAUGGAUCCAAUCUCACCAGCAAAAACACAAACGAAGAGGAAGAAGAUGUGGGCAAUGACUCGCUGAUUUUGAUAGCUAGGUCAUACACCUAGCCGCAAGAAUAUCUCCAUUGAUCGGGAUUCGGAGUAGAUGACCCCUCAGCGGUAUAGCUGCGUACCAAAUUCGAGGUUUGGCAGCACUUCGUUGUCCAGGAAAAGAUUGUUGAGAGGACUAGAGGGAGGAGGAGCCUAGCGGCUUAUCGGUCACACGGUGGGAAAGAGAGAUUUUGUGCAGAGGGGUGCAUCUGUCAUGACCUGUGUGUCCUUUGGGGUGCACCUUCUCUACAUUUCAUAGAUGCCAAGGGCAAACCGACUUGUGGAGGGGGGCUCCCCUAGGGACGGCACACCAAGGAGGGGGGCUCCUCCAUCCUUUUGGCUUGCCCCCCAAAACAUGGGGUGACACACCACUCUAAGGGUCCAUUAGGGCCCAGGUAGCACUACCCUUUGGGAUAGCCAAGGGGACAACCCACUAGGACCCUCUGGAAACUCCAGAACUUUCUGGUGCACUCUAUAACCUUCCGAUGCCUUCUAAAAAUCCAGGAUGCUCUCAAGAACUUCCGGGAUACUCUCGAGCUCUUCCGGGACGCUCCCGAAUCCAUCCAGAACUCUUUUAGUGCCCUUCUCUCAUACUCCUAUGUACUCCUACUUCUCUAAAAACCACUAGUCGUUAAACAUGUACAACCCUACAGGUUCGGUAAUAUGCAGACAUGACCCUGCAGGUUAAGCAUGUUCACUGUGGGAAGUUUUUUGUCUAGCUAGGUGGUCUUGUUGUACCGUAGGAACGAAUACAAUAUCUAAAAGCGGUGGCACAUGUAUUCAAGGGACAUGCCUGGCAUGUUGUGGCCGUUGGGGAGGUGGAUUGAGUAAAUUGCAUAGAAGUACCACAAUUGGGGCAUUGGAAGCAGAUUGGUACCAAGAUUGGUAAUUUUUAUGUGUCAGUACCAACUUUGGGGCGAGGCGUUGCAAAAGAGGCUAAAACAGCUGUUUAUACGUAUUGACACGGAAACUGACCGGUUGGGCCCGCCUGUCGGGUGCUGACAUGGCAUGUUUUUUGCAAAAAACUCCCUGGAAUCUCCUCUCUCUCUCCCCCGAACGCUCUCCCCCUCCUCUGUCUCGAUCUCUCACACACACCCGAACGCGGCCGUCGCCACCGACGACGAUCACCGUGGCCACCGUCCAACCUACCCCUCUCCAUACCAUCCAACGGCUCAGCCGCGACGCCCUCUUCCUCAUCGCCAAGCCACGUGACGCCGGGAGCCCCAUGCCGUCGUCCUUGCCUUCGGCUUCUUCCGCGGGAUCCGACGACAACCGCCGACGAUUCGACGCCGUCCGACCUCCCCCGAGCUCGCCAUCUGCUCCAACUGACUCGCCGUGAGCCCUUGCCUCCUCUCCCCUUGCUCUCGUGCUCCUUUUCUCGCCAUGGCCACCGUUCCGCCGGCGACCGAUUCGCGCCGCCGCCUGAGCUCCUCGCCGCCAUGGCCAGAGGCCGUGUUCGUCGCUCCUAGGCACGUAGACGUGCUUCAGACCUCGCCAGGAACCCAACCCGCACCCCAACUCGCUCUCUCGAGCGCUGCAGCCGCAUCCCCGCACUCGGCCGAACUCCGGCCGCCGCUCCGCCCGUCGCCGCCGCCGCUACACUGCACCCCGGCACCCCCCGCUACCUCCUUUAGAUGCGCCGCACCGCCAGCUCGCCAUAGCCGCAAACCACACGCGAAGCGGUGCUUGUUAGCGCCAUCCCGAGCAACUCCGGCGUGCCACCGCCGUGCCUUUGGUCGCCGGCGUCAACUGCUGACGUGGCGCCGGAUUAGUUAGCACUAAUGACCCGGCUAAAUACCCUUAGUGCCACUGCCAUGUGGGCCCUGUGCCUGUUUAGUUUAGUUUAAUUUUCUGUUUAGAUUAGUUCAUAACCCAGUGGGACCGACUCAAAUUUUCAAACGAGUCCGAAUCGGUGGUGGAAAUUACGAACGAAAAAAAACCCUCUCAUUUGAGCCCUUUUUCCCGAAAUAAUUGAGCAUUUAUGGGAUUACGCACAAAGCAAGGGAGUUUUCUGCAAAAAACAUGCCACGUCAGCACCUGACAGGCGGGCCCAACCGGUCAGUUUCCGUGUCAAUACGUAUAAACAGCUGUUUUAGCCUCUUUUGCAACGUCUCGCCCCAAAGUUGGUACUGACACGUAAAAAUUACCAAUCUUGAUAUCAAUCUGCUUCCAAUGCCCCAAUUGUGGUACUUUUAUGCAAUUUACUCAGGUGGAUUCGAUGGCGCAGAGGGAGGCGGCCAGUGGGAACACGGGGCGAUUGGGAGAGGUCGGCGAGGCCAUGCAGAUCCAAUGGCAUAUGGGGCGCACGACCCCGAUAGACUGCAGAUACCCAUUGUGGACCUUGGGGAGGCAGAUCCGAUGGUGAGGAGGGAAGCUGUCGAUGCGGAGGUGGGUUAAGGAGUAAGCUAAGAGAGAGUAUCAGAGGCUAUAUAUGAGACUGGCAGAUGACAAAAGCAGGGUGCCCCACAUUCUCACCUGCUGAUUCUCAGGCUAAAACUACUUCGUUGGUAGAAAAUCUACUUACCUAGGAACAGGCGAUGGAACAUACCAAGGACACACGUGCUACGAAGAAAUAUAAGAUUCUCAAAACAGGGAAAGCUACGGAUACACAUUAAGCUAGGCUAACAAGUAUCUUCGUUUGACCUUGGGUUCAUUGUUUCAUGCUGGAGUCAAGCUCUACUGGUCGGCCUGAGACGGAGUGGAGAGUAGGUGUGACGCCCGGAUAAUUAAGCUACAGCAAUCCCACGUUAACAAUGCCACAUCACCCCGUUUACUGUUGAUAAACUCUCGAUAGUUCAGAACCGAUCCAAAUUCAAAUUUGAAUUAAAGGCAAACAAUAAAAGUUUUUCAAAUUCUCAAAACUAAAAUGUUCUUAUUGUGACAAUUAAAUCAUCGAUAGUAUUGGUGGAGAAACAACAUUUUUAUAAAAUAAUUAAUUACUCUAAAGUGAUUAGAACUGCAGCAAAACAAUUAAGUAAAUACCUUUUUCGAUUAAUAAAAUUCUAAACUAAUUUAUUUCGGGGUAAAACAUUUAUGGCAGUGGGUGGUUCUCAAACAUCAAUUUAGGAGUUGCUAUCAUUUUUUUCUAAGCUAAAAACAAUGUGUAUCUAAAAUAAAACAGAACAGAAAAAUANNNNNNNNNNNNNNNNNNNNNNNNNNNNNNNNNNNNNNNNNNNNNNNNNNNNNNNNNNNNNNNNNNNNNNNNNNNNNNNNNNNNNNNNNNNNNNNNNNNNNNNNNNNNNNNNNNNNNNNNNNNNNNNNNNNNNNNNNNNNNNNNNNNNNNNNNNNNNNNNNNNNNNNNNNNNNNNNNNNNNNNNNNNNNNNNNNNNNNNNNNNNNNNNNNNNNNNNNNNNNNNNNNNNNNNNNNNNNNNNNNNNNNNNNNNNNNNNNNNNNNNNNNNNNNNNNNNNNNNNNNNNNNNNNNNNNNNNNNNNNNNNNNNNNNNNNNNNNNNNNNNNNNNNNNNNNNNNNNNNNNNNNNNNNNNNNNNNNNNNNNNNNNNNNNNNNNNNNNNNNNNNNNNNNNNNNNNNNNNNNNNNNNNNNNNNNNNNNNNNNNNNNNNNNNNNNNNNNNNNNNNNNNNNNNNNNNNNNNNNNNNNNNNNNNNNNNNNNNNNNNNNNNNNNNNNNNNNNNNNNNNNNNNNNNNNNNNNNNNNNNNNNNNNNNNNNNNNNNNNNNNNNNNNNNNNNNNNNNNNNNNNNNNNNNNNNNNNNNNNNNNNNNNNNNNNNNNNNNNNNNNNNNNNNNNNNNNNNNNNNNNNNNNNNNNNNNNNNNNNNNNNNNNNNNNNNNNNNNNNNNNNNNNNNNNNNNNNNNNNNNNNNNNNNNNNNNNNNNNNNNNNNNNNNNNNNNNNNNNNNNNNNNCUUGCAGCCCCGCUGCUCCGGGCGCGACCACAGUCGCCGUGCGCCCACGCCCGAGCGCCCUUGGGCGUGCGCCGAUCGGGCAGCGCCCGUUGCCCGUUCGCCCGUGCCCGUUUGGCCCUAUGGGCCACUGCCCAGUGGGGCCCCCCGCCCCACGCCCCUCUGUUAAAAAAAAGGUUAAAAAAAUGAUAAUAAUAAAUAAAAAUAUUAAAUAGUUAAUUAAUAAAUUAAUUAGCUUAAUUAAUUCUGUUAGUUAUCUAAUUAAACCUAAUUAACCUGUUAAUAAAACUAACUACUGAUAAUUAGUUAGCUGUCAAUGACAAAUGGACCCCACCUGUCAGUUGACCGGUCAACGGUCAACUUUGACCGCUGACAUCAUGCUGUCGUCAUGAUGAUGCAGUAAUUCUUUUUCGAAUUAAUUAAUUAAUAAUAAUCCCAGUAAAUGAUUAAAUCUUUAUAAAAUAUUAUAAAAUAAACCGUAACUCGGAUGGAAAAACUUUGUACAUGAAAGUUGCUCAGAACGACGAGACGAAUCCGGAUACGCAGCCCGUUCGUCCGCCACACAUCCCUAGCAUAGCAAACACGCAACUUUCCUCUCCGAUUCAUCUGUCCGAAAACGUGAAACACCGGGGAUACUUUCCCGGAUGUUUCCCCCCUUCGCUGGUAUCACAUAUCCCUGCGUUACGUCACCCCUAGCACAACGUAUUGCCGCGUCUUGCUUUGUGUUACAUUUGAUUGCUCUGUUAUUUAUUGUGUUCCCCCUCCGUUACUUCUUUCCAGUAGGCUCCGAGACUGUUGUCGAUACCCCUGUGAUCGGCUACAUCGACGACGACCCCUUCUUCUUGCCAGAGCAACCAGGCAAGCCCCCCCUCCUUGAUCACCAGAUAUCGCCUAUUCCUUCUCUAUACUGCUUGCAUUAGAGUAGUGUAGCAUGUUACUGCUUUCGGUUAAUCCUAUACUGAUGCAUAGCCUGUCAUUGUUUCUACAGUUGUUACCCUUACCUGCUAUCCUACUGCUUAGUAUAGGAUGCUAGUGUUCCAUCAGUGGCCCUACACUCUUGUCCGUCUGCCAUGCUAUACUACUGGGCCGUGAUCACUUCGGGAGGUGAUCACGGGUAUAUACUAUAUACUUUAUAUACAUGACACAUGUGGUGACUAAAGUCGGGUCGGCUCGUUGAGUACCCGCAAGUGAUUCUGGUGAGGGGGCUGAAAGGACAGGUGGCUCCAUCCCGGUAGAGGUGGGUCUGGGUUCCUGACGGCCCCCGACUGUUACUUUAUGGCGGAGCGACAGGGCAGGUUGAGACCACCUAGGAGAGAGGUGGGCCUGGCCCUGGUCGGCAUUCGCGGAUACUUAACACGCUUAACGAGAUCUUGGUAUUUGAUCUGAGUCUGGCCAUUUGGUCUAUACGCACUAACCAACUACGCGGGAACAGUUAUGGGCACUCGACGUCGUGGUAUCAGCCGAAGCUCUUCUUGACGUCAGCGACGCAGCGGCGCGCGCCGGAUUGGACUGGAACGCCUGCUAGGCUAGGUCUGCUUCCGGCCGCGUACGCAACGUGCAGGUGUGCAAUGAGCGAUGGGCCCAGACCCCUGCGCGCAUAGGAUUUAGACCGGCGUGUUGACCUCUCUAUUCAGCCUAGGUGGGGCUGCGACGUGUUGAUCUUCCGCGGCCGGGCAUGACCCAGAAAAGUGUGUCCGGCCAAAUGGGAUCGAGCGUGUUGGGUUAUGUGGUGCACCCCUGCAGGGAAGUUUAUCUAUUCGAUUAGCCGUGUCCCUCGGUAAAAGGACGACCCGGAGUUGUACCUUGACCUUAUGACAACUAGAACUGGAUACUUAAUAAAACACACCCUUCCAAGUGCCAGAUAUAACCCGGUGAUCGCUCUCUAACAGGGCGACGAGGAGGGGAUCGCCAGGUAGGAUUAUGCUAUGCGAUGCUACUUGGUGAACUUACCAUCUACUCUCUUCUACAUGCUGCAAGAUGGAGGUGGCCAGAAGCGUAGUCUUCGACAGGAUUAGCUAUCCCCCUCUUAUUCUGGCAUUCUGCAGUUCAGUCCACCGAUAUGACCCUUUACACAUAUACCCAUACAUAUGUAGUGUAGCUCCUUGCUUGCGAGUACUUUGGAUGAGUACUCACGGUUGCUUUUCUCCCUCUUUUCCCCUUUCUAUACCUGGUUGUCGCAACCAGAUGCUGGAGUCCAGGAGCUAGAGACCCCGAGGAUGAUUCUACGUGGAGUUCGGCUUCGAGGAGUAGUUAGGAGGUCCCAGGCAGGAGGCCUUGCCUUUUCGAUCGUUGCUACUUUUGUGCUAGCCUUCUUAAGGCAAACUUGUUUAACUUAUGUCUGUACUCAGAUAUUGUUGCUUCCGCUAACUCGUCUAUGAUCGAGCACUUGUAUUCGAGCCCUCGAGGCCCCUGGCUUGUAUUAUGAUGCCUGUAUGACUUAUUUAUGUUGUAGGGUUGUGUUGUGAUAUCUUCCCGUGAGUCCCUGAUCUUGAUCGUACACAUUUGCGUGCAUGAUUAGUGUACGGUCGAAUUGGGGGUGUCACAGUGGGAGCGGCACCAGAGGUUUUGGAUGGCGAAGCAAGGAUGGUGUUGAUGUGGCCCAUCAACGGUGGGACCUCGUCACUGACGGGUCAGUAGUAGCCACCCGCCGGAGCUGAGUGGUCGUCAGUGUUUUGGCACACAUGCUCGACCACUCUAUUCACCUCUUGCAGGUCACCAUAUUGCCCAUUAGUGGUGACUUCCGACACCAUUGUCUACGGGUUAUCGUUGGUGGAUUAACAAUGACCCAUCAUCAAUGUCCGUCAUUGAUGGGUAGAUCUAGGCCUAUCAGUAGUAAACUGACUGGUGUAAUGUUAUUUGUACUAUUGAUGUUAGUUAUUCCUUCAUAUUUGACAUCAUGUAGUCCAUUAGACUGGGGCAUUUGGACCCGCAGUAAAAGAAAAGAAAAGUAGAAAGAAUGAGUUAAGCGACUAGUCACACCCCUCCCACUCGAUCACGAAACAUAGAAGACAUUUCCUAUAUCAUGCUCAUUGCCUUAGUUUCUCGAGGAUUCGCACAGAGCGAUCAUCACGGGCCAGGCCCAUUAGCGUAGUAAGGCAAAACCAUAUUUUUUACAUUUGUUCGCUAGCAGUUGGUUUGAGAGCCAUUUUUCGUGUUCCUUCUGGUUCUAGUUUCUUCUUUUCAUCCAUUAGCUUUAUUCAUAUUUUUUGACACAAAUUUUUAAAAACCUUUCACGUCUUUUUUUAACAAAAAUCUAUAAAAUUGAAAAUUAUUCAUAAAUUUUUUAAAAUGUUCACAUAAUUUAAAAACAUCCACAUUUUUAAACAUAUAUUCACAAAUUCAAAUUCACAAAAAUUUCAUGUUUUUCUGAAGAAUAUUCUGGAAUUUUUAAAAUUGUUCUCAAAUUUUUAAAAAUGCUUGGUUUCUUAGAGUGAAAAUAAAAAUUGUGUGUUUGUGAAAGGAAACUACUUGAAAACAUAUAGAAAACCAAAACAAAA